rnacentral:lncRNA from 1 species
UUUUUUUUUUUUUCAGUUCACCCCAAUUUUUAUAAAAAUAAAAUGAUAAAAAUACUCUUGGGUCUUGAGAAUUAAGUUUUGAUUAUAUAUAUAUAUAUAUAUAUAUAUAUAUAUAUAUUGACAAAAGCAACCUCACGGCUGAUUUUUGUUUGAUUCUUUAAUUUUCUAGUUAUUUAAUUUAUUAAUGAACCAAUAAAAAGUUCUCAUAGCCUCCUUUGAAUUCGUGUAAAUUCGUGCAUGGUAUUGCCAUAACAUAAAGCACUGCUCCAAUAGAAAUCUAUGAAAAAUUGCGUGGUACUCACCAAUAUAUAGUUUUUUACAACACGUGACACAAGAUUUGCAUGAGACCAAUAUGUUUAGGUUGUUCCAUGCAAAAUUCAUAGGUCCUAAGUUACAUCCACAAAAAACUAUAACGUUCCAACUCUUGUUCCCUCCCUUUAAAUGUUGUUCCCUUCUCUUUGAAACCUCUCUUCAGUUUUAUUUCAUUUCAUCAUAUCGUCGCGACCCUCUUCUUUCCACUCUACUCCUUGCUCUCAAAUCUUCAUCUUCUGUCUCCUGCUGCAGGGUCAUUCAUGCCCGAGUGAUCAAAUCACUGGAUUACAGAGAUGGGUUUAUUGGUGAUCAAUUGGUUUCGUGUUACCUUAACAUGGGGUCCACCCCAGAUGCACAGAAGCUGUUUGAUGAAAUGCCCCACAAGGAUUCUAUCUCUUGGAACUCAUUGGUUUCUGGGUUUUCAAGAAUAGGAGACCUUGGUAAUUGUUUGAGGGUGUUUUAUACAAUGAGGUAUGAAAUGGCAUUUGAAUGGAAUGAGCUUACACUCUUAUCUGUUAUCUCGGCUUGUGCCUUUGCGAAAGCCCGGGAUGAGGGCUGGUGUCUUCAUUGUUGUGCAGUGAAAUUGGGUAUGGAGUUGGAGGUUAAGGUUGUUAAUGCUUUUAUUAACAUGUAUGGGAAGUUUGGCUGUGUUGACUCUGCUUUCAAGCUGUUCUGGGCACUGCCAGAGCAGAAUAUGGUGUCGUGGAAUUCAAUGUUGGCUGUUUGGACACAAAAUGGAAUCCCUAAUGAAGCCGUUAAUUAUUUUAAUAUGAUGAGAGUCAAUGGACUUUUUCCCGAUGAAGCCACCAUUCUGAGCUUGCUUCAAGCCUGUGAAAAAUUGCCUUUAGGAAGAUUGGUAGAGGCCAUACAUGGAGUGAUCUUCACCUGUGGUCUUAAUGAAAAUAUAACGAUUGCAACCACCCUUUUGAACUUGUAUUCAAAGUUAGGGAGAUUGAAUGUGUCUCAUAAGGUCUUUGCAGAGAUAAGCAAGCCUGAUAAAGUGGCAUUGACUGCCAUGCUUGCAGGGUAUGCCAUGCAUGGGCAUGGGAAAGAAGCAAUAGAGUUCUUUAAAUGGACUGUAAGGGAAGGUAUGAAGCCUGAUCAUGUUACAUUUACUCAUUUGUUAAGUGCUUGUAGCCAUUCAGGGCUUGUCAUGGAUGGAAAGUACUACUUUCAAAUCAUGUCUGAUUUUUACAGAGUUCAACCCCAAUUGGAUCACUAUUCAUGUAUGGUUGAUCUUCUUGGCCGCUGUGGUAUGCUCAAUGAUGCUUAUCGUCUGAUAAAGAGCAUGCCAUUAGAGCCAAAUUCUGGAGUUUGGGGUGCCCUUCUUGGUGCUUGUAGGGUUUAUCGUAACAUCAAUCUUGGGAAGGAAGCUGCAGAGAAUUUGAUUGCACUAAAUCCUUCAGACCCUAGAAAUUAUAUCAUGCUUUCCAACAUAUAUUCUGCUGCAGGUCUGUGGAGUGAUGCAUCAAAAGUGAGAGCUUUAAUGAAGACUAAAGUUUUUAUUAGAAACGCUGGAUGCAGUUUUAUUGAGCAUGGGAAUAAAAUCCAUCGUUUUGUGGUAGAUGAUUAUUCUCACCCUGAUUCAGACAAAAUACACAGGAAGCUGGAAGAGAUUAUGAGAAAAAUUAAAGAGGUUGGUUUCGUGUCUGAAACUGAAUCCAUUCUCCAUGAUGUUGAUGAAGAGGUGAAAACAGAUAUGAUUAACAAGCACAGUGAGAAGAUAGCACUUGCAUUUGGACUUUUGGUUAGUAAUGCUGAUAUGCCAUUAGUUAUAAUAAAAAAUCUCAGAAUAUGCCUGGAUUGCCACAACACCGCAAAAUUUGUCUCACUGAUAGAGAAGCGUACAAUCAUUAUCCGAGAUUCAAAGCGAUUUCACCACUUUUCAGAUGGAUUAUGCUCUUGUGCUGAUUAUUGGUAGUGAUCUCUGAAGGAGUUUGGUGUUGCAGGAAUGAUACUGUCAUUGACCAUAACUUAUACAAACACGUAGUAAUAAACUUGAUUCUAUAUCAUGAGCAUAAUUCAUUCUGUAUAUUCAUAUUCAGUUCUUCCUUCUAACCUAAAUGUGCUCCCAUUUUGUAAGUUGCUUACCCAAUACUACAUGAGAAACCAACUUGAAAGCUUUUAAAUCAAAUUCAUUUUCUAUUUGGUAAAUUAUAAAUUAAAAACACUACGAUUAAUCAUCACGUUCCCUUAGUUUUUCUUUUCUUUUCUCUAUGACUGUUUUAUGACCUUUUUAUACGUUGUUAUAAUUUCAAAUCUUUAUUGAAGUUUCACAUCUUUCAGAGAAAGUCAUGGAAAAGGAAGUGAUAAAAUCUCAACUUUGUAAUGAGUUAUCCUUUGUAGACUAUUUAUGAGAAACAAACUUUGCCAAGGAUAUGACAUUUCUUUGUCUGGAAAAUGGCAUACAAAAAUCAAUUUUCUUCCCUAUUUAUAAAGAUUUAUGAUAUUUUCCGGAGAGUUUCAUGGUUUUCAGUCUUCGAAGACCAUUGAUUCUGGCGGAAUUGUGAAGAAUUAAUGCAUGUGCAGAGGUAUUUCAUUUUUUUUUAGUUGUGUGUUUCUAUUUCCUCUUCUUUUUCUCUCCUUUCAUCUACACAUUCUCUCUUUAUUCCCAGGAAAUAAAAGGCUUGUGGUGGAAAAAUGCAAAGCAGAUGGAAUAGUUCUAAAUUCUAAAUAGUGUAAAUGACGAAAGAUAAAUUUCUUUUGACUAUUUUGAGAAGUUGUAGUAGUUAAUGUUAAAUUUAAUGAAAUACAUUGUUGUUGAGUUUGAGAUACACAUUACAUUAGAGAAGUGUUGAGUUACUUUACUCAGCCACACAUUGUAUAUAUUUAUAUAAAACAGAAAGAGUACAAUAAGAAAGAAGAAACGACACGUUCAGAAUAGGGAACCUGCUCCUAGUUAGGCUUUUUAGAAUACACACUAAAAACAGUCUUUUCUAAACCUUUCAAGACUAUUCUUACAAAGAUACAACUAGCUUAUAUUGUAACAAAUGUAACCACAAACAGCUAUAAAGCUUGAAGUUAAUAUGUAAAAAAAAAUAGUUUAGAGAAGUGGAGAAACCAGUUUAUACAACACCGUAGUGGCUAGAGUAAAUUGAAAAUUGAUGAUGUGUGAACUUCAGAUAUAUUUUUUAAAAUAGUAAGCUAUAUUCCCCAUAAGGAUAGGAUUACUUACGAGUUUUGAUAAGAAGCCUAUUCGGUAUUUGCUUGAUCAUCUGCCCACCUUCCCCAACUGGGGAAUUAAAAUGUGUGCAUGCAGGAUGUACCAUCACUAUUAUGUAUGAGACAUUAUUUGUAGCAUAGUGCAUAUCUGGAACCUUUAUACUUGCCUUUGUUUAUGCUAAUAGUAUACUGCUGAUAUACCUUUAUCUGUUAUCUGGUCUUACUAAAUAUUUAAAAUUACAAGCCACAUUUAUACGCAGUUCCAAACAAAACGGGAAGAUGUCUGAUGCUGUUUAGCCUACUGGACCUAUCUUGUUAAAGCCUUGAGAACAAUAUUUUAAGUAUCCUCAUAUUUUUGUACAUCAAAAGUUAUCUAUGCUGGAUGUACCAUAAAAAAAUUCUCUCUUGUGAGAUUUUCAUAUGACAAGAACAUGUGAAGAGAUAAAAGCAGACACCAUGUCAAAAUUUAUGGGACCUUAUUUAAGUUUCUUGUAUUUAUCUUUUUCUUCAGUCUUCGCAUGACCUUGUCAUGUAAAAAUGUCACAUGAGAGGAUUCAUUUCCCUUUGUUAUGCAGGUAAUUGUUCUGUCUCGUUCUUGACAAACGAGCAAUACUAAGCAGAAAAAAAUUGACAGAUGAUGGUAGUUGGAUAUGUUAGAGUGGAGGGAGCCACUCACUUGCUUUGAAUUGAUAACAAUGUCAACUCAUUAUGGCAAAAGAAUUCUGGUUAAUAAUUGUUUUCCUCAGUAAUUUUGCAGAAUGCCAGUGCAGCAGUUGAACCACAAGCAGAAAGUACUCACAAUCAUCUUCAGUUUAGAACUCUGGAGGGCCAACAAACAGAAUAUCCAUGUUAGUAUGUUACAAUUAUUACAGCGUGAUGAAAAUUGGCAAUGGUUAGUUAAUGGUUCGUAUCUAAAAUGGAACGGACUCUGAGCUGUGGCCUUAUGGCUACAAAUAUGAAGUUUGACUCAAAAUACUGCUGUUUUUGGCUCUUUAUUCCAAAGCAUUCUCUUCCUUUCUUUCAAUUUUUCCAUUUGUAUGAACUAGUAAAACAUGAAAAUGUUAGGAUUGGUAGUCAAAUUUGUACAGUAAUUUACAUCCUCCUUUACUUGGUCCUUGUAGGCCUCUUAUUAGCAGUUAAGAAUAGAUAAUUUGACUGUGCUAUACAAGCAGAUAACCAGAAGUAUUGAUGAAAAAAAAUCAAAUUUUUGGGACCUAUGAAUUUUGCAUGGAACAACCUAAACAUAUUGGUCUCAUGCAAAUCUUGUAUCACGUGUUGUAAAAAACUAUAUAUCGGUGAGUACCACGCAAUUUUUCAUAGAUUUCUAUUGGAGCAGUGCUUUAUGUUAUGGUAAUACCAUGCAAGAAUUUACACGAAUUCAAAGGAGGCUAUGAGAACUUUUUAUUGGUUCAUUAAUAAAUUAAAGAACUAGAAAAAUUAAAGAAUCAAACAAAAAUCAGCCGUGAGGUUGCUUUUGUCAAAAUAUACAAUCAAAACUUAAUUCUCAAGACGCAAGAGUAUUUUGUCAUUUUAUUUUUAUAGAAGUUGGGGUGAACUUAAAAAAAAAAGGAGAGAAUGUGAGCCUUGUACAUACUUCUUGUGAGUUAUUUUCACACAUGAAAUGGUCUAUAAAUAAAAUCAAUCUACACGCAUAAACAAAAACCAGAGUACACAAACAAAAUCAUUUCCUUUAUUCCGUGUGUGCAAAGAGAAGGAAGCUGUUAUUUUGUAAAACGCUUCAGUUGAUAACAUCUGCUGGGCACGAAUAUCCAAAGCAAUUCUCAUUCUUUGAAGAAGGUAUGCUGCUGAAAAGUCACAAUAACAUUCAUGUUGUUCAUCAGAAACUUAAUCGUGUAAAUUAAGACAGCUUGUGAGGAUGAGUAGCCUCACAGCUUUUAGAGAUCAGAUCCAAGGCAAUGUUAUGGAGUCAGAUUCUCAUAUCAAUUUGUGUAGCAAAUGGACUAAGCUAGAUAGAACCAUAAUAAUUUCCUUAUAUAGGUGCGACAGGUCUGAAAAUUCACUUGAUAAAGAAUAUCAGUUAUAAGAAAAAUUUUGUAUUACAAUAUCUUAUCUUAUAUCUCUAUGUCAAUAAAAUAUAAUCUUAUUCUCAAUUUACUAUAUCUUAUUAGUUACUGUACUGUUAUCGAAAAAUCUUCAAUUAAAUCUUGUCCAUUGUUAUCUAAUCCUGUUAUCUUGUAAUUAAUUGUCAUGAUAAGAUAAAAUUCCUUUUUGGAAGGAGUCAUUAGAUAAUUGAAGUUUACAAUAUUUGUUUUAAAGUUAUAUUUAUGAUUAUUUGUAAGUAUAAAAAUCUUAACGUUAAAAUUUGAAAAUAUAAAAAAAAUGUUUAAAAAUCUUUACCGAAUGAUUAUAGUUUUAUAUUUUUUAGAGGAAAAAUUAAUUGAGAGACCCAAUAUUAAUAUGGGAGGAGUGGAGUACAAAUAUAGGGCACCUUUACUCGGUGAUCACGUCAUAUAUUCAAAUUAAAGGUGGCAAACUGGAGGAUAAUCAAUUAGGAUCAUUAAUUUAUAGUUCUAUACUAUAAAUAAAAGAAAUAACUCUUGAUCUCCACAUUUUUCUUUUUCAUUUUAUCCUUAAUAACUACGUAUAUACACUUAACUGGCUGUAGCAAUUAUAAAAAAUAACUCUUCAGCCAUAGUUAUUUACAUUUUUAAUCCUUUUUAAUUAAAAAUUGCAACUACAUAAACUUAGGUAUCUAUCAAUAUUUUUGUUUUUCAUUUGAAUCAAUGCUUUUCCACUUGACGAGAUUGCAAACAGUGAAAAUCUUUUUUUCAUGUAAAGGUAUUUAUUUAUUUUAUCGAUGAGAAAUUUUUAUCGAAAAAUUUGACGGUAAAUCUUCUUUUUUAAUCAUAUUUUUCUUAUAUAUAAGAAUCAAACUCAAGAUCUUUGUCAAGAGAUUGAAGCUCAGUUCUAAACGAAAUGUGUUGGUUUAAUUUAUUUUUUUUGUAUUUAAAUCAUUUAGAAAACUUACAUGUUUUGCUUUUAACUAUAAAAAAUUAUUUAGUAAUUAAUUUUUAUACCAAUUCUAUAAAUAAAAAUUAUUUUAUGUAAUUUAUACAAAUUAUGUAGGUUUAUUUUAAUAUAUAAAUUAUACAAUUUUUUAUUCUAAUUAUAUAAUUAAUAAAAUUUUAGUAUCCAAUUUUUUAAACUAUUUAAAAGGUGGACCAAAAUUAUAUUUUUGCCUUUGUAUUAACAAUUUAUAUAAAUAAUUUACAUAUUAAUUUAUAAAUAAUUUACGUAUUAAUUAAUUUAUGAAAUUUAAUUUUAAAUUGGUACAUCUAACAGAGUAAUUUAUGGAUUGAUUGUGAUUCCUAUGUUGUUAUCCAAGCCUUUAAGAGUCCCUGCAUUGUUACUUGGAAUUUGCCAAUGGGCGUUAGCGCAAGCACUGCUAGGAUUUUUUUUGUUUAAAUAUUUUAAAAUAUAUUACUUGUAACAAAGUUAAUUGUCUCACUUUUACAUGUGUAAGGAUUAGAUUAAAAUUUUAUUCUUUUAAAAAUUAAAUUAUCAUUAUUUUACAUAUUUAAAGAUCAAAAUAAUUAUUUAUCUUUUAAUUUUUUAUUUUUUUUUUAUUUUUAUAUAAUGUCUAAGUAAUGACUAAUUCAUAUGAGGAUUCCCGUCAAACAACCCAUACUGAGAUUAGGGGUUCACACUUAUGACUUGAUAUUUUUUCUGAAUUGUUUAAUUCUUUUCUUAUCCUUCUUACGUUCCUACACAAAAUCUUUCAAAUAAGUUUGCUUGGAAGCUCAAAAUUUCUAGAGAAUGAUUUAGUCAUAUGUACAUAUUGGCUCGCAGAUUACUUUUCCAGUUAAUAGCUGGAUUUUAUUUCACACCUGAUUUUUUUUUCUUUUUGUUUUUUGAUAGUAUAUGGCGUCAUUUUCUUUGGGAAAUUUCACUGAAAGCUCAAAUAAAACUAACAUUGACUCCAUUGCUUUUGGGACAUUAUAAAUUUCAUUUCGGUGACUAUGAAUCAGGGCAUGCAUGUAUAUUAUUUUGAUUUGAGGCUUUCAGUUUCUGCUUUAAGAGAUGGCUCGGACUAGUCUUUCUUCUAUAUCAAUACCUUUUCUUAUUUUGCUGAUAUUUGCCUUUACUUUCUUUGCACAGCUUGCUCCAGUUAGUGCAGGUUUGUGAUCUAUCUCAUUCAAAUAUGUACAAAAGCAUGUGUGUAGAAUUGUAGAAUCACAAUCACUAUUCGAAGUUCCACUACCUUAUAUUUAUUAUUUGGUUUAGUCCAUGUAGGGGUUUAAUAUGUAAUUUUUUUAUAUCUUUUUUUUAUCAAUAAAUAUUAAUAAUUAAUAUAUUAUGUUAGUUUUUUUUGAAAGCUUAAGACUUUAGGCAUGACAAUCAAACUUGUACUCAUGGGUAUCCGUUCUAAUUUUGAUAGAGAAUAUCCAAGUUGAUCAGGUGCGAGUUUAGGAAUUAUUUGACCUUUUUAAUUGGGGUUGGAAACAGGGAUGUCAUUACCUGUUCCAUACUCAUUUUCGUACCCAUCCACUGAUGAAGUUAUUAAAAUUUUAUUAAUUACUUGUUAAUUUUUUUUAUAAUUUUUACAUAAUUUAAUAUUUUUUUUCUUUAUGCUUUUUGUAGAUAAAUGUGAUGCAAGUACAAGUAGUUAAAAAUAAAUGUGUAACAAUCAUUUUUAUAAUUAGAUUUUUAAUAUAAUUAAAAAAAACUUUUGUACAAAUCUAAACCGGGAACAAACGAGGAAGGAAAUACCCAAUACCGAACGAGUAGGGAGAUGGGAUAACAAAUUUUAACUAUAUAUUAGGGAUGGACACGAAUAUAGGUUGGGAAGCCAUGAUCGGAAACGAGAGAGGCAAUACCCGUCCCGAUCCCCGCCGUUGCCACAUCUAUAUGACUCCCAGCAUAUAAAAGUUAAACACUGAUGAAUGUAGAAACAUGUACAUCAUGAACAGGUAACAUUUAACAUCUUGUUAUUUUAAAUUGCAGAUCCGAGAAUGAGAAAAUUGGGUCCCGGGCCAAGUCCACCUCCUCCACCAGGGCGUAACCAUGGACUUUCACCUUUUUUUCCAAAUGCUCCUCCUCCUCCACUCAUUUAAACUAAUUUUUAACUGUCAGGUAUAGACAGUUAUGUGUGUGUUUGGAUUCUCCUUAAUUUCUGAUCCACGUUUCAACCAAGAUUUUACGUAUAAAUCGCACUGUAUCCCAAGUGUAGUACUUAUGUACAAUUCGAUUCCGAGAAAAUUAAAAGGCUUUUUAUUUAUUAUUUUACUUUUCUGUACAUUAAUAAGUCUAACAUCUCACACUAUACAUUAGUAAUAUGAUUAAUUAAUUCAAUAUAUACUGACAUAAUUAGUAUCGAAUAAGAUAGUCAAAUAGUUAAGAAAAUGGGGACAAAAAUAGAUUAAAGUUAUAUGAUAAUUAAAUAGUUAAGGAAAUGUAUAAAAAGAUAACCCGCUUCAGCAUUUAAUUUUAUUGGUCUUAUCAUUUCACAUAAAUUUAAAUACUUUACACAAAAAUUCACUCUAAUAUUAAGAAUGUUAAAAUGAGUGAUUAAUUUUAUUUUUGUAGGUCGUAUAAUACUUAAAAAAUAUAUUAUUUAUACAAUAAAUGUUUUAGACAAUAGUUUUUUUUUAUGUCAUCUAUUUAAAUGGAAAAAAAUUAAACAACAUUACAUAAAAUUAAAUAAUUCAUGUAAGUACUCAACUAUUGAUGCUCUUAUAGAACAUCCAACAAUGUCUUAUUAUUACUUUAUUUUGGUAGAAUUAUAAAUUGACAAUCGUUGUUUAUUCUUAUUUCUAAGGCGAUUGAUGUUCUUCAGAGUCAAAUAAAAAAGUUGUUGCAUUAUUCCGUGAUGGACUAUUUGCAAAUAAAAAAGUUGUUGUGCGAUGAGUUGAUAUUGCGAGUGUUAGUGUAUGCUGGGCCAUGAAGAAGGGUGGGACAUUUUUGUCCAUUGAGCUUUCUAUGGGAUGUGCAGGAAGCAAAAUAAAGAGGUGCAGGAAGCAAUUACCAAUAAUUGAUUGAGAUUUUGUAUACAGAAGCCACAUUUGUAAUAACCCAAAUUAUUCACUCCUCUAUGACUCACUAGAGCUUUGAGAGCGUUUUUUUUUUUUUUUUACAAUUUCUCUUCAUUUCUUAUCUUUUUAAACUCUUUUGUAGUAUCUUAAAUUUUAAUUUAAACUUCAUUAUAUUUUUAAAAAUAUAAAUAAUUAAGAAUACAUUAUAUUAUAAUUAAAUAAAUAAUUAUAUCAUUUUAUGUCACUAUACAUUUAUCAUACAAUUUAUCAAAUACUUUCAAUUUAAUCAAUUAACUUAUAAGUUUUUAGUUUUUCAACUCACUUAUCAGCUCUAAACAAGUUAGUUUUAUCAAAUACACUCCUAAUUUAUUUUUUAAAGAAUUCAAUGGCUUGAUUCAUUUAAAUUUUUUUAUCAAAAAAUAACAUAUUAAAAUUUUAUUUUGAAUCAAAAUCACUCCAUAUUUACAUAGAGUUUUAGUUAAUCAACCAAGUUGUUGGUCCAAGUAGAGUUAUUAGUCUUCUUAAGCAAUGUCUCAUAAUGACAUAUAUAUAUAUAUAUAUAUAAUUAAAAGAAGAAAUUCUACUAAAAAUAAUUAGAUAAUUUUUUUUACCAAAGCUUAAUUAUUAACAAAAAUAAUAAAUGCUCAACAUUGAUAUUACAGUGACAAAAAAGUGUUUUUUUUUAAUUAACUUUUGUUUGUUUUUGAAAUUUUGGAAAGAGAUUAAGCACAUUUCUAAUCCCGUAAAAUAACACUUUUCUAAUUUAAUUUAUUGUGAUUAAAUUAAUUUAUUCACUUGUUAACAUAAAAUCCUUCCAUUAUAUCAGCCUAUUAUAUUUAUCUAUUUACCUAUUUAUAUUGUUUUAUCAUAAGUAAAUUAUAAAGAUGAUCAGUUAAAUUCGAAAAUGAAAAUAAUUAAGAGAAAAAAAUUAUGUAUGAUAAAUUUGUUAACUUUUAAAAUAAUUAUCUUAAAGCAAUUUAAAUAAUGAUUUAUAAUUAUCUUAAAACAUUAAACUUAAUGAAUAAUUGUUAAUCCUCCAACCAUAUUCUCCUACAAAUUCCCCUACUAUCUUUUAUACUAAGUUUUAAAUAUAUUUUAUACUUCCAUCAUAAUAAAUGUUUUUACUUUUCAUUUAAUACUUAUCAUAAAAAAUAAUAAGACAAUUUAUAAGAAAAUAUAAUCGAAAGAUUAAGAAUUAAAAAAAUCAUCGCAAAAUUUAGCGCAUGUAACGAUUGAAGAACUCAAAAUUAGGGAAAAGUUUACCAAGCUCUAUAAUAAUAAUACCGUAAGCAAAGCAAGGGAAGCAUGCGUUUGCUCCCAUUGAAGUGGCACAUCCAAUCACUACUGAUUCCCACUUCCAUCCAUCUUCGCUUUCAAAUUUUCCCGAAGCUGCAAGUUCCGUGAUUGCAUGUGGGAUGUAGAAACCUUUUUUCUUUAUUUCUCCACCGUCCUUUCUUUCUGAAAACUACAUCCUCUUCCCACUUAUGUUGUCCGCCUCUGUCAUGUUUGUACCAACAUCAAUGCUGUCCUUCUUCAUGGUAUAACAUUUAUUGAAUUUGCUACGGCUCAUUUUCGCAACAAUCAUUUACUUAUUUACAGAGUCUACCGUGCGAAAGUGAAACUACUUUCACACCGUAAGUUAAUGAAUUAAAUGAUUUUUUAAUUUGGUGAUGAUUAAUCUAAGUUGUACAUUUGGUUUUUAAAAAUAUCAAGGGACAUGAUAUGGUCACGGCUACCGGUUUGGUCAAGUCUCCUAGCCAAAUUAUUAUCAUCAUGAAGGCGACAAAGGCCAUGCUGGAGAGGAGCACUCGUAGCGAGACGAAGGGGCUCUUGUGAAUGUGGCUGUUGACGUCGACGGCGGCGAGUGCAAUGGCAAGGGCAAGGAGGAUCCAUGCAUCAACAUCGUUGAACGCUGCGACGGCCAUGGCAGUGUCGCCGACGCGAGGAGUGAGGAGCUUGAGCUCGGUUAGGAUGCAUGCUAGGACGGGGAAGGGUAUGAUGGAAAUCGUGACUCCCAUGAAGAUGAGGAACCGCGAGAAACCAAAUUCGUUGAUUCCGGCAACGGUCUUGCGAAGGAUUAGGGCAAGGCCGAUGCCGAAGAUGUAAGGGAGGGACAUUUUGCCGACAGCAGGGCUCAAAGCUCUUUUUCCGCUCCGGCGAAUCGUGACCAAGUCGAGCUCGAGAAUAGAAGAAGAAGAGAAGACAUAUGCUUGCCAUUGAUUCCAGCAACAAUGUGCUCUGCGGUUCUAAAAAAAAUAAAGCAGGUAACAAACCGGUAGCCGUGACCGUAUCCUGACCCUUGAUUUUUUUUAAAAACCAAACGUACGGCUCAGAUUAAUCAUCACCAAAUUAAAAAAUUAUUUAAUUCACUAAUGUACACUUUCGCACUGUAGACUUUGUCUUACUUAUUGGGAUUGACUUUUUUUCAUUAGAAAAAGAUUAUUAUAGUAUUUUUGUUUUCUUCUUUAUUUUGUGUAUAAAGGCAAUAUAAUGUUGUCCAUGAUUAUUGAAUGAUGCUCAAGGACAAAGUGUUGAAUGACUUGAGACGUGUGUUAGACACACCGGUCGAAAGGAUUUAUCUGCAUAGAGCACAAAUCCCUUAAGAUAUAACAGGUCAUUUUCAUAAGACAAGGAACAGAAACCAACAAGCAAAAAUAUAAAAAGAAAGAGAGCCCAAAGAGAGGAGAGAAAAGAGUUUUUGGUGUGUCGAAAGCUAAUGCAAGGGGGAGGUAUUUAUAGGACUGGAAUGAGUAAGAAAACGGUAAAGGAAUCAAGAAAUUAAAUUACCAUUAAAAUGUUUUUAACUGUAAAGCAGUCACAAACUAAAAAAUGAUUAGUAUAGAUAAACGAAAAGCGUGGCAUUUUUGAAAUUAGGUCAUACUAAAAUCUGGGGCAUUAAAAUUGCCAUAUAAAAUAUUCCAACAAUCCCUUUUACUCGUGUGCAAGGGGGGAACCAGACGAUUUGCACUACAUCGAACCAACAUGGUCCGAUCUCAUGCACACAAGAUUCAUGCCUCUUGUUAGCUAGUUUAGACUUUCUCAUCACAUGUUGAUAUAUAUACUUUGUAGGAAAGGCUAAACUAUACAAUGUGGGACAUGAAACCUUUUGAAAUACCUCACAAAACCACAACAAUCCCCCACAUAUUUCAAAAUGUUUUUUUAAAAAGAUUUUUAAAAGGAAAAGAAUAGAAGAAAUAAAGUUUUUGGGUUUUCAUUAAGGAUAUAAUGUGUCAGACCUAGUGUUGCAAGCUAUAUGAACCAGUCCUAGACUAGUAGGACUUAAUACAUAGUGUAGUUGGUGUAGCAAGUUAUAUGAACCAAAAAUGUUUUAUGUGUGUUAGCGGUCUACCAAUCACAUUACACCUCCACAAUUCUUGUCGUUAUUGUUGUUUUGCGCUAAUAAGUCAUGCACACGCCUAGUAUUCAUGAGUGCUCUAGAGUUUUUGUCACAAUCUCAUGCAAGCAACCCCACUUGACACUUAUAUAGUUGAUUUCAUCAAGUGUAUAUUGCAGAUCAUACACCACCCAUAAAGGAUAUGAAAGUCAUUAAAAGCUUCAAGGUUAGCCUCUCUCUAAUACAAUAUCUAGCACUUUUCACACCAUAGGAGUGGACUAAAAUUAAUUUAACUUUAGCCUUAGCAAAACUAACAAGUGACUUGUUCUUACCCAUAUGAACCUUCUUCAUGGGAUCUGCAAUUACAAAGGUUGGGUUACCAUCACUUGUUUGUUUCAAGUGGUCUAAGUCUCAUUCCCCUCAAUGUUUUCUAUAUCAAUUUCUUCCCUAGGGGUUUCAUCCAAGGAUCUGCCAAAUUUCCUUCUAACUUCACAUAGUCAAUGGAAAUUGCUCCAUCCUAUAGCAUCUGUUUUACCACAUUAUGUCUCAAUUGUUUAUGUCUAUUUUUUCCAUUAAAGGUUUUGUUUUUCACUAUGGCUAUCGCUAAUUGGUUAUAAUUAUGCAUUGACACUAAUGGGGUUGUUUCAUUCUCAACGAAAUUAAGGCUAAGAAGUUUUUCAAACACUCAACCCCAUUACCAGCCAACUCCAAAGCUACGAACUCCAAUUCCAUAGUUAAUCUUGCAAUGAUAGCUUGUUUGGCUAAUCUCCGUGCACCGCACCACCACCAAGUGUAAACACAUAACCACUAGUGAAUUUUAUCUCAUAUGAAUCAGAGAUCCAAUUAGCAUCACUGUACCAUUCUAAUAAAGCGAGAAAUCCACUAUACUUAAUACCAUAUUCCAUGGUACUUCUCAAGUAUCUCAUGAGUCUCACAAGAGCUUCCUGAUGGUCUUGAUUAGGACUAUGAUUAUAUCGACUCAGUCUGCUUAUUGCAUAUGCAAAGUCUGGUCUAGAAAAGUUCAUUAGAUGCAUAAGACUCCCAAUAAUUUAGGCAUACUGAGUUUGAUCAACAAUGUUUCCUGUGUUUUUCUUCAACUGUGAGUUAGCAUCAUAAGGGGUAUUCACUAGGUUAAGGUCAUAGUAACCAAACUUAUUAAGAAGUUUCUCAACGUAUUGAGUGUCUUUGGAAUAGGAGAAUAAUAUCACCAUUCCUUACAAUUAUGAAAGUUUUAGUCCUAAGGACUAUAUCAGUACAAGUACUAAAGAUCAACAUAUCAUCCACAUAUAAACAGAUAAUCACAUAAUCAAUAUUUUCAUAUUUUGUGUAGACACAUUUAUCAGCUUCACUAUAUAAAAAGUUAUACUCAAGCAAACCAGGGUCAUAUUUAUCUUGCCACUAUUUUGGUGCUUGUUUUAGUCCAUACAGGGAUUUUAAGAGUUUUCACACUUUGUCCUCUUGACCAGGUAUAACAUAGUCUUUAGGUUGAGUCAUAUAGAUCUCUUUCUCCAGAUCAUCAUUUAAAAAUGGAACUAUUUUUUAUUAACCUUGACCAUGGCAUUUUUUUUUUGGCUUACAUCGGCUAAGGUUAUUUUUGGUUAACCUUGACCAUGACAUUUUUUAUCGACCUUCAAUUAGGGUUAAUUUUGGUUAACCUCUGCUAGGACUAUUUUUGGUCGACUUGAUAAGGUAUUUGUCAACUUAACUUGACUAAGGUUAAUUUUGGUGGAACUCGGCCAUAACUGUUUUUGGCCGACCUCGGUCAAGGUAUUUUUGGUUGACCUUGGCUAGAUUAUUUUUUAUCGACCUUGGUCAAGAUUGUUUUAGAUUGAUCUGAGUUAGGGCUAAUUUUUUUUGACUUCGAUUAAGAUUAUUUUUGACCGACCUCACCAAGGCUCUUUUUAGCCGACCUCGGUUAGGGUUGUUUUUUGCCAACCUCAGCUAGGUUAAUUUAGAUUGAGAUCAACUAAAGUUAUUUUUUGCCAAUCUCGGUUAGGUUGUUUUUGGUUGACAUUGAUUGGGGAAGUUUUCGACCAACUUCAGCUAGGGUUAUUUUUUGUUGACCUUGGUUGAGAUAUUUUUGACUGACGUCUAUUAGCAUUAAUUUUGGUCAGCAUUGACUAGGUUAUUUUUAGUUGACCUUGGUCGUACAUUCUUUGACCAACUAGACCAAGGCUACUUUAGACCAAUUCGACGAACCUAUUUUUGACCGACCACAACUAGGCUUUUUUUUGGCUAAUCUUCAUCAGGGCAGUUUUUGGUUGAAUUCGAUCAAGAAAACUUUUGUCUGAUUUGAUUGAGACUAUUUUCGAUCAGCCUCUAUAAAAAUUAUUUUUUGCCCACCUUGAUCGAGUUUAUUUUUGGCUAACCACGAUCUAAGUAUUAAAAAAAUAUGUCAUAAUAUUAAAACUUAAAGACACAUGAAUCAAUCCUAGUCCAAAGGCCUUUGUGGCCUUUUUGGCUAUGUGGACUUUUAAUGCAUACAUUCAUGAUUCGUUUGAUACGAGAGGAAGUAGGAGAAAAGGAAAGAGAGAAAGAAGAAAAUACGACUUAGGAAGUAUUUUCUAAUAAUAAAUUGACUUCUAAAAACAAAAAUUUUAAAAUUUUCCUUUUUUUCAUUUUUUUUCCAAUUCAAAAUUUCCUUCCAUCUAACCAAACGGACCAUCAAGAGUCUGCGGGUGUUUAGCCCCCGCGCACGCUGGCCAAGAUUGACGAAACAGUUUCUCCUUCUGUUAUUAAGUCUAUACUUAGCCUUAAAUUGGGAAUUACUCGUAAGUCCAAGCAACGGCGCAGUACUCUCUAUGUUUAUAAAGGAUUAUUUAAAAAUUUAGAAUGCGUACGUAUUCAAAUUUAGAGUAUAAACUAUAAAGUCCUAUUAUAUGAUUAUAGUUUAUUGAAUAAAUACAUGAUUAAAUCAUUCAUCUAAUUAAACUCCUAUAAUUAAUUUUAAACUCUUAAUCAAACAGAAACUUAGUCUUGACUCUUGACUAAUUGGGCAAUAAUAUGAAUAUACAUUACCUGUAAUUAACGCAUAAACAUGCUUCUUUUGGUAAUUAAGAAGAACAAAAAAAGGGAAGAUAUUUGCGUCUUACCGUAUGCAUACGUCGUAUUUUGGUAUUUUGCAAUACACUCCACGUCUUAUUCUUGCAGUCUGGCUACCCUUUUCGUGGGGACUUCAAUUCCUCUUGAGUUUUUAAUUUCAUUGGUGGGUGCCUUUUCAUUGCAAUGGAAGGACAAUAAAAUACCUUGCCACAAGUUGCGUCCUCCCUUUCAUAUACUUACCUAAAGUCACAGCACACCUUUAUUAUGUUUCUUUUACUUCCCCUAAAUUAAAUUUCAUUCAGAACAUGGUCUACCUGCAUUUAUAAUCCUGGUAAAGGAAAAUGUUUAUUACAAGAAGAAUUACACACUAUAAAAAUUUAGUGUACACUUAUUAGGAGUGUUUAUGGGUCUCGUUAACUUAGGAUCAAACUCAAUCCAAUCUCACAUGAUUAUAUUGGAUUAAGAUUUUAAAGUCUUUAAUGAAAUCCUAUUCAACCUAAUUAAGAUUCAAUCAUAAACAAAUUGAAUAACGCGUUCUAUUUUUUUAACCUAAUUCAAUUUGAUCCAAUUCAUACCAUAUAAUUAAAUAAUAUAUAUAUAUAUAUAUAUAUAUAUAUUAAUUAUUAAAUAAAAAACACACUAUUAAUUUUUAGCUCACAUUUUAUUAAAUUAAAUCACACAUAUUUUUUCUCUUUUAAGUCGUUUUUAACUUUGUCUUUGAUUUUAUUUAUGUUUUCGCAUAUUAAUAUUAUACUUUAUUUCUUUCUAAAAUAAAAAAUAUUAUAUUAACAUGAAAAUUAUUAAUUCUAUUAACUAUUAAUUCACAAAGAUAAAUCUAAUUGUGUAAUAAUUAACUAGUAUGUGACAUUUUUUUUCAUAAUGUUAUUAUAUUAAAAAGUUUGACUGUUUCAAGAAUCACAUCAAAACUUGCAUUUUGUUAAUGAUUUGGCAAUAUAUGAUCAAGACAUAAUGUAGACAAAUAUUAAAAAUAUAUGAAAAUUAAAUAAGUUGUCUAUGACAAUGUGUGGAUUCUUAGAAAGAGUUUCAACAACUAUAUAAUUUGUUAAAAUUAACUAAUAAUAUUUAGUUAAAUAAACAUUUGAAAAUGAAAAUGAUGUCCACUUAAUUUAAUUACAAAGGACGACAUAAGAGUGAACCCCAUUGAAGAAUUUGUCCAAAUAUAGGCACAAGUCAUAGCACAUCCAAACCCCAAAAUACAAAUAAUAUCAAUUAUAUUUGACACUCUGUAGUUUACAUUCGCAGCAAUAUAUGAAUGGUCAUCAACCACCAACCACAACCGUUGGAUAAUGAUAAUCCUCAUGAUCAGCUCAUCUCAUCUUGCAGACUACUUAUAUAUAUCAACAAAUAUUAAUUAUUAAUUUAUUAAUUUUUUAUCAAAUAAUAAUAAUCAAAUCCAUAAUUUUUUCCUCAUUCUCUUAUCUCUUAACUAAUUUUAUAUUUCUAGAACAUAUAUGCUUCACAUCCCCUUGGAGGUGAGUUGUAAAUUUGAUCUGCUAUGAGACAGGGUAGCUGCAAAUUUAGGUCAACUUGCCACCACCAUCUAAAUAAAUAUUAUUCAAUUUUAAGACAAUUAUCAUUUAUAGUUUUGUACAUUAAUUUAAUUUUUAAUAGUUUAUAUAUACACACAUAUUAAUGUUUUUAUGUUAUUUUACUAUUUUAAUAAGAAAAAUAAGGAUCUUGUUAAGUGCUAAUUAGUGUCCUAAAUAUAUUAGUUAAAAAAUUAAAUAAACAAAUAUUUAUUAUAGAAAUUGUAAAAAGAGUGUAAAGAAAUUAUGAACACUACAAUUUAAUGCAUCUUAAUUAAUUAAAAAGCCUCUAUGCUUAGCAUUUGCCUAAAAAUAAAUAAGAUCAGAAUUGAAAAGUGUUUUUUUUGUUUAAUCUCUAUAUUACAAUUAGUUUUAAGAACUAAUAAAAUCUAUAAAUUACUUUUUUAAACAAAUAACAUGUCACCUUUAGUUUAAUUAAUAACGAACUUAGUUCUAUUAAUUAUCAUUAUUUAUUUAAGUUAUUUUUAAAUUUAUGUGAGUGGAUAGAUAAAGUUUACAAACAAAAAAAAAACCUUGAACAAUUUUUAUUGUUAAUUUUAUUAAUAUCGAAGUUUUAUUUUCGAUAAUCAACAUCAACCCUUAAUUCUAAUAUUUAUUACAUAAGUGGUCGAGAUAAAACUACAAAAGUACUUUAAAUAUUACACCUAAGUUGUGUAUAUUAGAAUUAUAAUAAUUACAGUAUUAUAUAAAUUUAAUUCGAAAUAUUUAUAAAUACAGACAGAGUAUGUUAAGUGUGUGUUAACGCGGAAUUUUCAUUCCUUAAGACAGAAGAAGAAGACCGAUGUUGCGUUAAAAACACGUGUCCCAUGGCUAAGCCUAAUGAUUCUUACAAACAACUGAAACACGUAACUUUUUAAGGAAAAAUUAUUUUUUUAAAGGGUUCCCAUUAAUUUUUUGACUUCACAAAAUAUAAAUUUUUACCAGAGAUACGUAACAAUUUUGAUCUAUAAAAUACUGAUACGGACAUUUGACAUGACACAUACGCAUAAAUAUUUGAAGUAUUCAAAAUAUAAUUGAUCUAUAAAAAAUUGAUACGGACAUCUCACAUGACACAGAUACGUAAAUAUCUGGAAUAUUCAAAAUAUAAAACGUAAUAUGAGUGUCGUAUCGGUAUCAAACAAUAAUACAGAUACGUACAUAAAUAUCUGGAAUAUUCAAAAUAUAAAAUAUAAUAUGAGUGUCAUAUCGGUAUCAAACAAUAAUACAGAUACGUGUCAUACACCGAACACAACAACAAAUAACUUGAGUGUUCGUAGUUGAUAGAUUUUUAUAUCCUGAACAGGCGAAUUGGCAAGUUCAAAUGUUGCACGUCUUCAAGGAAGCAAAUGUUUCGGUCAAUAUGGCAUGUGAAUUGGGGUCUAAUCUAGUGGUCUAUGAGCAACCUCUUGCUCAACUUGAGAGCUCCUAUUCCCAAUUUAAUUUCUUUCUAAUCCUCUUUCUUUGGGCUUAAGCCCGUUGCUUUCUAAAAAGAGAUUACCUGUAUUUUAAUAGAGUUUAAUGAUAAUUACAAAUUCUACUAACUCCAACUAGAUACACUUCCUUAUAUCUCCCUUUUAUAAGUCAACCAUUCAUCUUAGUCAUAUAGAGACUUUCAUAAGUGUCCCAAAGCUCUAUCCCCACAAACUUAGAAAAAUCAAAAAUGAUAUAUGGAGUUGUACAAGUCAUCUUACCAGCAGGUGGCUAAAUAUUUCGUUAUUUUUACAUUUAACCAAUAACUAAAAGCAUAUAUAAUUUUGAUUAAUGGUGAGGGAAUUUAUUUUCUUAAAUGCUAAUGCUAAUCCUCAUCUUUUAAGCAAGAUUUGUGAAAUUAAAUUAGGUUUUAAAUCUAAUGCUGUUAUUUGGGCAUCCAUAUGUUAUGUGUCUUCUAUUCAAAUACCUAAUUCUAAUCUAAAUUUAAAUUUUAAGAUAAUAUUAAAAUCUAUCCUAAUAUUUGUAUUUGUUUGAGUUUCUGUUAUUUAGGCAUCCAUAUUUGUCUUCUCUCCAAAUAUCUAGUUCUAGGUGUAAGAAAGUGUGUUAAGCUCUCAUAUAGUUAGAGUUAUAAUUAAUAUAAUUUUUCUUCUUCUAAUAAGUUUUAAGUUGUCCUCAACUCCUCAUCUUAAAACAAAUCUUAUUUAAUUGAGUUAGAUCCCAAUCUAAAUUGUAAGACAUUAUUUAAUAUUUCUCAAUGCAACAAAAUAGCUUUAAAUUAAAACACAUAAUAAAUCAAAUGAAACAAAAAAGAAGAGAGCAAUCGCUUUAUUACUUAUUUUUCAUUGAUAAUUUAUUAGAAAAUAAAUAUUCAACAGAUACUAAUUAGAUAACCCUUUUUUUUAAUACAAGUCAUCUUCCUACCUUAUUUAUGAGCACCAGAACAAUUCCUGAAAAGAAAAGAAAAUCAAAUCAGAAUCCAAUAGACAAUUCGCUUAGCUUCCUUAUCCGCAAUAUAUGACAUCCUCCCCACAGAAUUUUUUUAUUUUUUUUUUCUAUUAUUCAAGAUUCGUUUUUAUUUUUAUUUAUUAAAAUAAAAAGAAAAUGCUUCAUGUCAUACGUCACAUACCUUUAUGCAGAAAACACCUGGCGAUACUCUAUUGGGUCACAAAAGGCACCAGUCACUGUCAUAAAACGAAAAACCCCACGAUAUUUCGCACGCUAACUCGCCAUAUCGCAACCCAAUAUAUCGUCACAUGUAAAUUCAUGUGGACCCCACACAACCUUCAAUCAUCGCUGUUACCGAAAAUUCCAUUUUCAAAGUGCAAGGAAAUGCCCAAAAUACCCCCACAACCACCACCGAAUUACUCCACCACCACGCCGUGUGUCCCUUUUCUGAGAAAUAUCAUCAAAGCGAGAGAAAUUCAUGGCCUUCUUCCAGUUUCAGAAAUUGGAUUUAAUUCAAAACUUUGGUUCAUCAAAUCACGUGUUUAAUUCUGAAAAUUUUAUUUUGAAAUUAUAAAAAAAAUUGGCUAAAUUUUACUAUACUAGAUCAAAAGUUUUUCACUAAUUUAUUUAUAGAAUAAAAGCAUUCUAAUAAUAAUUAGAUUACUUGAAAUUAGUUUUAUACAGCACAAUUUCCUUCUGAAUCAAUUUAGCAAACAAAAUCAACCACGCAGAAAUCAAUAUCCUUGGAACAAAAUCACACAAUUAAUCAGAUCCACGAAGUGGGAUUAUGAUAAUAAUGGUAAAUCACAAUAAUUUAUCAUUUCAAGAUCAAAUCAGGAAGAAAUCAAACAUAAAAAUUAGAAGAGAAAUUAAAUAAAUAAAAAAAACGAUCAGAGUUUGAUCGAUGAAACACAAGAGAAAUUCAGAUAAAUUCUUCUUCAUCUUUUAUCAGCAACAAUCUCUCUCUCUCUCUCUCUCUCUCUCUCUCUCUCUCAAUCUAAAACCUCACACACGCUCUCUCUCUCUCUUAAAUCUGUCAUCUGCUACUUUUUUUUUUCCUUCUUCUCUAUAUAUAUAAAUCUGAGAAAAAAAAAAACACGAAACCGCGUCAACCGUCAACGACGUCGUUUUGAGAUUCCGUUCCGUUCGGGUUUUUCCUUUUUUUUUUUUUCUUUUUUCUUUUUUCAGACUUUGACGAUCUUCGCAGCUCUGAUCACCGGAUUCUCCCUCGCGAUGGCUUCUCUUCCGGCGGCUUUGUAGUCAUAGCUGCAGUCGUGGCGGUCGGAGUACCGGUGCUCGGCGCAGAAGAGCUCGCCGCACCGGCACCGGAAUCCGGUGAGUCCGACCUUCCGCCGGCAUCCGGAGCAGCGGUUGACCACGCGCUUCGCCUCCGACGGCGUCGUCUGGUCCGAAGAAGGAGGAUCCGCCACCGGCGAGGGCUCUUCAGGAAAAGAUCUCUUCUGAGGACGCGCGGAGACGCCGGAUCUGGUCGCCGGAGAAGCUAUUCCGGCACCUCCGGCGCCGGAAGUGGUGGCGGUAGAGGCAGUGAAGCACUUCUGGCACAUGUUAUUCGUGGCAGGGUUUCCGGUGACGCCGCAGUUGUUGACGCAAAGCGUAAUCGUUUCCGGAACUUUGAAGUCGGUUUCUUCUUUCUCGGUUUUCUGAGCCAUGGAGAACGAUAAAACAAAAGAGCCAACUGGUUAGGACUUCAAUUUUCUUUCAGAGAGAAAGAAGCAAGAAACUUAAAAAGAGGUUUUUUAUGAAAUUGUGAUGUGAGAGAGAGGACGAAGAGAUGUGAGAGAGAGAAGAGGGGAAUUUGAAGAUGUAUUGAUGUGCUGUGAGGUCGGUAAAGGGAAUGGAAUAUGGGCCUCAUAGAGACGCGUAUCAAACAUUUCUUUCUUUACUUUUUUUUUUUUGCCUUCGUGGUUGUGUGGCGGGGGAAAUUACCAAAUUGUCCAAGUGGGUUCGUUUUGCUUGCAACUUUGCGUUGCAAUUUGCCUCUGCUGCCCCCCUUUUCUUGUCUCAGAGGUUUCUGACGUGUUCGUGUCAGUGCAUCAUCCAAAUCAUAUGUCUCUGUCUUUUUGCUUUUAUUAUUAUUAUUAUUAUUAUUAUUGCUAUUAUUAUGGUUGUUGUUGCCCCCUAAUAGUAUUUACUAUUCAGAUUUAUUUUAUUUUAUUUUGUUAGGUUGGGUGGGUUGGAAUUACGCCUUUUUUUUAUUGCCAUCAUACCCUGUAAAUUCUAAGGUUGUUGUCGUAGUUAAAAUGAAAUAAUUGUUACCAACAUGAUGGUGGGGUUUGGGUUGGAAAUAAUUUUAUCUCUUCAACAACAUGUAAUUAAGAUUUAAAUUUUGUUUUGUGCAUAUAUGAAAAAAUAUAUAUGAAGAGAAAUUAAUUUUUUAAAUAAAUUUUAAUACAAUUGGACAACUUUUGAUUAAGUAAAAUUAUUUGUUAUUCAAGUCGUGUAAUGAUUCUUUUAAGUAAGUCAAUUCUAAGAGUUUCAAUAUGUUCUUGACAUCUUGUUAAAUAAUAUUAUUUUUUUUUCAUUUUACAUGGUUAAAUAAACUUUUUAGUUAAAAAAUUAACUAAAAUAGUGUGCCAAACAUAGCCCAUGUUUUCCGAAAAAAAAUGUUCUUUUACAACAAAAAAAAAGAAUUAUAUAUUAAUUAAAGGUUGAAAUUAUAAAAUAUAAAUUAGUUUAAUGUUUGAUUAAGUAACAGUGUUUAAUAAUUUUGAAUAUUUAAUUAAUGUUUUUUUUUUAUAAUUUUAAGGAUUAAGUUGACUAACAACUAAUAAUAUGUAUUACUUUUUUUUUUUACUGAAACUUAAUGUAUUACUUAUAAAAUAAAACAUCGGACAAGAGAAAAGUAGAACUAUUUGAAUCAUUUAAAACGAAAAGCAAGCUGCUAAAAAUAUACCACAUGAGAAAAGUGAAACUAUUUGAAUCAUUUGAAAAGAAAAGGCAAGCUUCUAAAUCUGUCCUUAAAAGUUACACGCAUCAUCAUUUAGCAUUUUAAAAUUUUCUUUACUAGGUUAGUAAUCCCAAAAUCUAAAACAUAAUUUAAAAAGAAAAAAAUUUGUCGUUGAAUAUAUUUCUUAACGAUUUAAUUUAUCACUAAAUUUUUAACGUGUUAUCUAAUAAUUUACAUGGAAUAUAUAGCCCUAUAUAAGUAGUAUAAUUCAGUAAAAAAAAAAAGAGUAUAAUGCAAAGUCUGUAAAAUUACUCAGUUCACAAAAUAAAAAAUGUGGUCGUCGAAUUUAAUUAGAACAAAUACAUAGAUCCAAAAAUGUAUACUAGGCUUACUAUAAAUUCGCCUGCUGGAUAUAGGUUCUUAAAAUAAAUAAAGGGUGUACAAAAAUUUGAGAUUACUAAUUUAUAAUUAUAAAAAUGUGAUCGCAUUUUGUACACAUUUAAGACAAUCUUUAAUUAAUAGAUAAUUAGAUACAUAUACCACUAAGUUUUGUGGUAAAGUUAACGUGUUACUGAAUUUUCUUAUCAUGUUGAUUAGAAUAUUACUGGAACCCUGCAAAGAGAAUUUUCUCAUCUCAUGUUUUAAGAAACAAAUCAAACUUUUAUAAAGCAACAAAUCAUCAAACAUGUGAAUUUAUUAGUGUGAUGUUAUUUAAGAGAGAGUCCAAGAAAUCUAAAGUAAAAUUUAGAAUAAAUAUUUUACUUUAAAUGUGAUAGAAAUAUAAUAGUUUUUUUUUGUCAACAUAGGUGGACUUCUUCCGACCUAUGAGGCGUCUUUGUUUUAUUAAAAUUAAUAAUAAAUAUUUUUAGUUACCUUAAAAUUUAAGUUUUAAUUAUUUUAUUUUUAAAUUAGAUGUUAUUUUGGUUUAAUUACUCUCAAAUUCAAAUUUUAAAUAUACAAUUAUAUUAAAUAGUCAAAGAAAAACUUUAUUAUUCAUAAAAGUUCUAUUUAACCGGGUCAAUCCUCAUAUUUCAUGGACCUAUGGUAAAAAAUUAAUUUGGACCUUUUAUAUUUAAGUAUUCAAAAAAUAAAUAUAUUAUUUAAAAAAGUAAACACAGUUUAGUUAAAAAAUGUUUUCUUACAUUAAACAAAUAAUAUAGAUUUAAUAAAUCGUAAAAUGAUAUAUCACAUUUUUAUUUAAUUUAUUCUUAUGUUAUCAUUUAUCAUUCAAUUUAUUCUUAAAAAAUUACUUAACAUAAAUAUUUAUGUAUAAGGUAGACAUAACAAGUUUGACUCUUCUAUCCUCAUUCUUGCAUAAAACAUAAUAUGUUCACAUUUAAAAAGGUAAACAUAUAUUUUUAAAAUCCAUCUCUAUUCUCAUUUUAGUGUUUUACAUGUUUGAUUUGGAUAAAGUUGUGAGGAAACUCAUCACAUUUUUUAUAAGGUAUACAUAUAUUUUUAAAAUCCAUCUCUAUGUAGGGGACAAUGAACUAAUAGGUGUGCUAUUAUCUUGGUUUAAUCAUUGAUCUUAAGUUUAUGUCUUGAUUUGUAAUUACAUUAAAUAUUUGAAGAAAAAAUUUCAACCCUAUAUUGCAUGGUUUUCAGUCUGAAUUAUUGUCGCACAAAUUCUGAGUCAAAUUCAACAAACUAGCGCGAAAGAAAGAGUCAUAAUUUGUUGACGAACUUUCAAUGUUUAACUAAACAUACUUAUAAUAAUUUUAUCCGACUCGAGCAAGAUUAUCUCAUUACAUAAAUGAUAGAUGUUAUUUAUUAAGAAAAGAAGCAUGAAAGAGAUAAAGAAGCAUGUGGGGGACGUAUGGAUUCGGUGAAGGGAACAAUGAACCUGAGAAACAAAAAAUGUAGGUGAUGAAUGAUCAUGAGCUGAUGACUUCACAUGGAAGUGGUCCUGUGUUACUGUUCCGAAAGAACAGGGUUGGCAAUCACGCAGACACAAGUUUAAAUAUUGCUUUAUAUCACAGCUCGUUUAUAACAAAGUCCAAUGCACUCUCAGUGGUUUAGUUUUGCUUUCCAUUAACCAGCAAUGUGCCCUUUUGCACGCAAAAACGGGAUCCAGUUUCAACUAAUCAAUUUUUUUUAUAUGGCUCUUUGUAUCUUUUAAUCGUGUCGAAUCAUGUAAUCGACCUCACAUGUAUAGUAGAAUAAGAUUUUGUUGUUGUUGUUAUUAGUGGUGGUGGUGAAUUUGUAAAAUUUUUUUUAUGAAUUAUAUUGCUCUCUGUAUAGAUCAUUAUAAUAAUUCUCUUCAUAACUAUUAUUAUUAAAGGUUAAAUUAAAUUUUCAAUAAUAAUCAUGAUGUUUCAAAAAAAUCAAAAAUGAAAAGUCCUUGUUUAUUUUCAAUUUAAUUCUCAUAUGAAAAAUAUCUUUCCUCACUAUAUAUAUGUUGUGUAGUUUUUUAUUAUCAAGAAGAUCUAAUUUAAUUGGUUAAAUAGUGUGUGUGAGCUGAUAUUUAAGUUGGUUUUUCGUAUGAAUAAAACAAACAAAUAAAUUUUCGUCAUUUGCUAACGCCCAUAACUUUGUAAACCAUUAAUUAUUAGGACUCAGAUUAUGUAUACGACAAAUUCUUUUUAUUCAGCUAGCACUUACUUCAUAGUUUAUUUGCUUAAUUAUUGGAACCAUCAAAUUAUUUGUCAGCACCGGAGCAUUUUUAAUAUAAGGGAUACACAAGACUAUGCAGUAUGCACAAAUAAUUAUAUGAGCAGUUCCUUCUAUAGUCCUUUUUUUUUAUUUUGAGAAUUGAUCCACUCGUUUGCUUGCAAUUUUUAUAAGUAAUUUUACUUGACUAGCUAGCUAUAUGCGAAUGGACGAUUAGGAAUAAUUUCACAAACGUAGAGGGCCAGUUCUUUUUCAAAAGUAAAGCCUCAGAAUUUAAACUCAUAUCGAAUGUUUAACGAACUUGAUAAAUGCUUAUAUAGCUGGGUAAGUCAUUCUCUUAUGAACAGAUUUUUAAGGAGACCUUUCGGAUGCUUUUGCUGCACUAUAAAUUUAAUAUGAUAUCAGAGCCAUAUUCUGUCCCGGUGGGUGCAGCUUGUGGUAGCUCAUGGUUAUGCAGUUGGGGUUAUUGUGUUACAGAAUCCUCCAUCUGAGUGUUUAGGCUAUUUUUCCUUGUAUGUUGGCAUUCAAACAAUGCUUUAUGUUGAAGUUUUUUCAGCUAUCCUAGUGAUCGAAAUUGUGAAAGACAAAGGCUGAAAUUGAGUUUGACUUGAAUGUGAUUCGACCUUAAUUAGUCAUCCAAAACUUUAUAGGUGUGAUUUCUCUCCUUGCAUCUCAAUCUCAAUUUUAUAUAUUAAAGGUAUCAAGUUGAACAUAAGUAAUUUCUUUUACACGAGCAUAAAAUUUUAAUUUAUACAUUAUUAAAAAAUAAACGCACAAGCAAGAUGUUUAUUAAAUCCCAUAAGUCGUUUUGGGGACAACUUAGUUGGGUUUUCCUAUUGUCUCCUGCAUCCCAACCUCAAUUUUAUAAAAAAAAAGGGUACCAACUUAAAAACAAGUAAGUAUAAAUUUUUAAUUUAACCAUUAUUAAAAAUAAACACACAUACAAGAUGUUUAUUAAAUCCUAUAAGUCGUUUUCAUAUCAAUGAAAUAUAUUUUUUGUUAAAAUUUUGGGCGAAAUUAUGAUGAAAAUAUUAGCCACAUAUUAUCAUUGAGAUGAUAACUGAUGUCUAUGUAGCAUUUUUAAAUAAUAUUGUACGACAACAGUGUUCAACUUUAAUAAUUCAUCAAUUUGAUACUUUUCUGUAUGUUGUUUUAUAUAUCGAUAAAUUUACAUAGUUAUAAAAAAAAGUUGUCUCCAGGCUAAACACAGUGUGUUAUGUCGAGAACCAUCUAUUUACAAAUUGUACUAAAUGCCUAAAUGGAGUGUGAAAAUUAAUUAUUAGUACUUUUAAAAGAAAUUUAUUACAGUAUAAUUUAAAUUUUAAAAAUGGGACCAGAGAUCAACAUUGUUAAAGUUUUAAAAUUACGUUUAAAAUAAAAUAAUUCAUGUUUAAUUUAUUUUUUUUGCAUAAAAUUUAAAUCGAUUGAUCCAACCGAGGUUGUUUUUGAUCAACCUUGGUUAGGUUAACUUUGACAAAUCUUAGCAAGGAUUAUUUUUUGGGCAACCUCAGUGGAAAAUAUUUUUGUUUGAUCUCAAUUAUGAUUAUUUUUUUAUCGAAUUCGACCUAGAUUGUUUUUGAUCGAUCUCUAGGGUUCAUUUUGGUUGACAUCAACUAGAACAUUUUCGACUAACCUCACUCGAGAUUAUUUUCAAUCAAUCUCAAUCGAGUUUGUUUUUGGCUAACCACAACUUGAGUAUUAAAAAAUGUUAUAAUAUUGAAACUUAAGUCCCAUGGGCUAACCCUAAACCACAAAGCUUUGUGGCCUUGUUGGCCCUAUAGGCUUGUUAAUGUUGUAACAUUGUGGAUUUUCGUAAUGUAUGUCAAGUUCUUGAUAAAUACUCUAAGAGGAAAUUAAAUUUAGAUUCAUGAUAUUUAUAGUUGAAUUUAAUAAAUAGAUUGUUAUGUUAUGUGUUGUAGAGCUAUUUGUAAUGUCAUGAUUUUAUUAAUUGUGCGAUUAAGUGUUUAAUUUAUUUUAUAUUGCAAGAUAGAGAUUUGAGUGUGUAAUUAUAUCAAUUAAGAUGUUAGUUUAUUUAAAUUGCUCUAAUUUUAAGUGUUAGUAGGCUUAGAAAUCUUUUGGGACCAAAUAUCUGGUCACAAAAACACGUAAGGGAGGGGUGAAAAUAGAAGAAAGGGGUAGUUAGAUAGCAAUGCAGGAUAAGACCACUUUUCCUAAUCCCCUUUGCACAUUCAAAGCUUCAAAAUCCUCUCCAAUCUUCUUUGAUUUUUCUCUCCAUUCCCAAUUGUGCUCAAAACCCUUCACUUCAAGAGUUAACAAUGGUUAGGUCCACUCCAAGGAAACCUUGUUGUUCUAAAUCCUAAAGCUUUGUUGGAUUCCAAAUGACUACAUUAAUUAUUUUCAAAUCUUAAGCUGAGAAAGGUAUGAGAGAUUCACCAACUUCAUACUCUAGCAAUGAUCAAAUUAGUGAACAAAUGUCAACUUAUCGAUAAUAAGUAAAAGUUUCACAUAGAUUGUAACUUUAGGCAAAGUAUACUUCCAAACUAGGUCUUAGGAUAAGCAUAAAUGUUGGAGAUAAUCUUCUUAGCUUUUAAACGGGACAAGAAUAAACUUAAUUAAGUUAGUGUAGAUUUACUUAUCAUGUUUAUAAGUUAUUAAGGCCAUAGACGCAUAGUAGGAAACAAAUGAGAUCGUACUCCAAAAACUUAAUAGAUGUUAUAAGAACCAUAAAUAUGAGGCAGAAAGUCAUUAUACUGGUAGAGUGAUUCAUAUUUAUAAUGUGUGGUUUGGUCUAUGAUGUUAUUGUUGAUAAUUAUCUUGUUGUUAAAUUAAUGAAUCAUUGUAUGAAGGGUUUGUCAUUGUCAUUGUUGUUGUUGUUGUCAUGGUAUACAGUGUAUGCACAGUUGGUGCACGAGCAUAUGAGUAGGCACUUAAGUUGAGGGUGUUAGGUGAGCUCUCAACCUAGUGUUGGGGGAUUUUCAUGAUGGCUAACGGGAAUGUGCCUAUGAACAUACUGGUGGGAAAAUCCCUAUAGAUGUAUGGUCUUGAAAACCUACAGAGGUAAGUCAAUACCCACACUUACCUAUAUUCGAUAAAAACUCACUUUCUUUGUAGGUCCAGCCCAAAAGACUCCUUGAAUGAUCUGAGAGUGAGACUGUGUUAAAGGAUGUGGCUCAUAAAAGAUCACCCAUAUUGCAUUGAAACUCCAUGGAGUAGAGUCAGAGUUUAUGUCUAAGUUUGGGGUGGCCAAGUUGGUUGCUAGUAAAUGUCAAUAGAUGACUUUGGUUUAGUUGGCUAUCAGUAUGUGUCAGUUGUGAUGAUUGUUUAUGGUGAGAAUUUGUGAUAGUUGAUGCCAACAAUGGUUUAUGUGAUGUAUGAUGUUUAUGACUCCUAAUGAUGAAUGGUGAUAGAACUAUGUUGUUCUUGAUGGUUUAAGGAAUAUAUUUUAAGGUUAUGUUAUAUAUAGUAAUUGAGAUGGAUGAUUUGAUGUCGAUUUAUAUUGAUGUUUAUUGAUGAACAAUAAAAGAUAUAUGUUCUAUGAAUCGGGUUUUGAGAUAAACGCAUCAAUUGGGUUUUAUUAUAAAUCUUUGACUGAGUGGUUUGAAAAGUAUCUACAAAGUAUAUAACUUUUAGUAUUCCUCAUCUCUUUAUAGAUUGUUUUGGAUUAUUUGCAUAUGUAUAUUUGUUCUGGCGAGCUUACCCUUGCAUGUUUCACCUGUGGUUUGUGCCUGUGAUGAUCCCAUACCUAAUAUACAUGGGAAGCAUAUGGUUUCUAGGGUGGAUCUUUUGUUUGGAGGUGUGGUAGAUGUAGCGAGCAAGAGAUUAGAAGUUGUGUCAUUCUCUUCCUUUUCCUUAGUUUUAGUUUUGAAUAGAAAUGACCAAUUUAGGUUUGUCUUAUUAUAACUUUCAUGAGUUUUAUGUAAUCAAAGUAUGUCUUCCAUUAUGGUUGAAGUGCCAUGAGCCACUGAUAACUGCGAAAUCUAAGCUAAAUUGAUAGUCAUUUUUGGCUAAUAAUGAUAAUAGUUUCUUCACUUUAGUAUUGUUUCUUCCAUACGGCUCAACCCAGGCUCAGCGUGUGACACUUGCUUAGCGGGAAGUUCCAAGCUUAGCGCGAUGUCUUGCUCAGCGUGUAGGACCAGCUUAGCGUGAGAAGGCACACGAGGAAAAGCCUAGUGUACGCUUAGCGCACAGAUGCGCGCUUAGUGCUAGGUCAGCGUGAAAAGUAAGCUACCUUAGACCUAUAAAAGGAGAAAGAAGCAGAAGGAAAAACGACACCAAGUCUCAGAGCUAUCCAUUGUAGAAAUCCAAAGCCUGAGUCUAUCCCUUAAGGGAAACCCUCUGUCCUUAGCCAUUCUCCCUCCUUUUGUUAUUAGUCAUCUAUCACCUUCUUCUAUUAACCCCUGAAGUGUAAAGCCUCUCAUGGCUAUGAGAGGCUAAAUCCCCAUUGUUGGGUGCCUAGAGGCCAAAAACGCUUGUAAUGUAAUUCUCUGUCUAUUAUCUAAUGUUAUUUUGUUUCCAUUAUUCUUCUUUGUGCUCAUUUAUUAUUAUGGUUUGAUCAUCCAUAUAAUGUUUACAGGGUAAUACAUUAAAAAAUGGUUAUUUUCUAAAGAACUAGGGAAGGGUAACUUAAUAAAUUCAUUGCUAGAAAUAGAUUGACAUUUAUUUUGCCUAUGAAAUUUUGCAUCUCUUAUCUUAAUGCAAUUUGUUAUUUUAUUUCUGCAAAGAAAUUUGGAGGAAAAAGAUAAAGAAAUUAGGUCCUUCGUACGGGGAACCAAAGAUAGGGUAAUCCAGUAGAUGCGGGUGGAAACAUAGAAUUCAUUAAUUAAAGAAAAUAUUUUACAUUACAUCAUAAGUAAUUUUGGCAUAUUAGGCCCUCAACAUUAUUGUAUUCUGAUUCUAUCUUUUUACAUUGUUAUUUAUUUUUCCUAUUAAUCUUUGCUUUGCCUUAUUCCAAAUUUCACAUUUACAAUUCAUUGUCUUUGUCUUCUUCUCUUUCUUUUCAUUGCUUAAUAAUUGAGUUUGCAUCACUUAAGUACAACCAAAGUCCCUGUGGAUUUAACACUUGGACUUCCAUUUUAAUCUUUAUUACUUGUGAUAAAAUUGGUACACUUAUCAAUCUGUUAACAACCACCAAUGUUGAUUUGGUUAUGUUUAGUAGAUGCAUGGUUUUCGUUAUAAGUUUAUUGGUUUUUUUUGGAAUUGCGAAAAGUUCACACAGUAUUUUCAUAAGUAAAUUAAUGGAACAAUUUUUAAUUAAAUAAAUAAUCCAAACCUUAGUUAUAUUAGUUAUGUAACGAAGGUGGGUUACUACAAAUGCGAGCCCUUUUCUCCUGAUCCACGUGGACCGUUAUUGGGUCGAGCCUGGCCCGACCAUUUUUUAUGGCUCUAAAUUUAACAUUAUCAUCACCUCACCAACAUCAACAUACUCACCUCAUAAAAAAUAUUCAUAUCAUCCAUAAUCAACAACUCAAACCAUUCAUAUUAGUUAAAUCCAUCACAAAUUCAUUAUGCAUUCAAAUUGGAAAAUUUACUUAAGGAAAAUGAACAUUAAUCACAUUCACAUCAAAUUGAUUUCUAGACUUAAACUAAUUUUGGACUUAAAACUGAUCUCUAGAUUAGACACUUGUCAUCAAACGCAAGUCACUGAACGCAAGUCAUUGGAUGCAACUUGUGGAUGUAAGUCACUAAACACAACACGUUGAGCACAAGUCGUUGGAUGCAAAUACUGGAUGGAACUCACUAGAUGAUUGGACGUUGGUUAAAAUCUACAACGAACAAAAUGUUGUAACAAGGAUUUUUUGCUGUAUCCAAGGCCUUCCAAAGGAUCCGAAACAUCCAAAAUCAUAUGUCAAAGGUUCAGGGACAAUGUUUAACACUUACAAAAAAUUAUUUCAAGGCAAAACAUUUUAGUCACAAGUUUGCAACAAUCUUAUUUUCUUCUAGUUGCUUUGUUCAGAAGACUUGAUGAUCUUUCCAAGUUUUGUGUCUCUAAAUAUUUGUUGGUUUUCUUCAAAGCUUGCUGCUACUGAAUCAGUGCUAUGAGCACUCUACAUGACUUUUGAUCUUAUUGUACUUAUAGUAUGUGCUUCUGAAUAGUUUAGACUUUAGUGUCAUGUGCUUCUCUACUUAACAAUACUACUUCUAAUAGUACACGAACCAUGCGUAACUUCUGAUAUAUACCCAUUGACUAAAGAUACCUUCUAAUGCUACCAAUCUUUAAUUCUUCUCAUAAUUUUUUUGAUAGUUCUGUGCCUAAUAAUGCAAAAUCUAUGUUUGGAGGAUUAACAUGUAGAUUGAUGCUCCACACUAUCCCUCAUGCUUCUUGAUCAAAUCCUAUCUUAAACUUAAAACACUCAAUGGAAACCAUUAGUAGCUUAAACUUGAAGACUUAAAUUUCCUUCUUAAAAGUUUGUUAUCAUUAAAAAAUUUGAUUGGAGAAAGGGUUUUGCUUCAUCAACAUGUCAAUCUUGUAUGCUUCUAGUUAGCAUUCCUUUUUGGUUGUCUUGCAUGUAAUGGGAAAACCCAUUAUUAGAAGGCUGGCAUCUUUAUCAUCUAUAACAUAGGGAUAUUGACUAUGUAUUAAGGACAAUAUACUAUUUGACUUGUCCUAAUUUGAGUUUUCGUAACGCUCUUUCUUAUAUACUUUUUUAUCCAGUGAGAUGAGUGCUUGAGACCAAUGAAUUGUUGGCAUUAACUACUAAAUAGUAUAGUCCCUCACAAUCGUCCUUUGGGAUUUUUGUUCUAGAAUGACACAUUUGGAAUCAUGGAAUGUGAUGACAUAAUUCAACAAAGUACAAAGUUUGCAUAUUGAGAAAGCAAAUUAAAAGAAAAAUCUGAAACCUAUAGUACAAUAUUUAAAUAUAAAUCGAGGGAAAAGAACAAUAGUGCCAACAAAUUUAACUAUGGAAAAAUUUCCAUUCAAUAAUAUAACGUUCACAAGUUUAAUUUUUAGCAAAAUUUUGAAACCUAUGCAUGGAUGAACAUAUGAUCACUAGUUCUUGAAUCUAUGAUCUAAUAACUUGAAGAAUAAUUAUUGUAGCAAGAAAAAAAAAAAAGGUUGCUAUUUGAUUUGGAGUCUAUAGCUAGCGUGUAUGACCAAACUAAGUAUAUGCGCUUAUCUAAUUAGUGUAUGAACAGAAGCAUGGUCUCAGUCUUCUUGGUGAUAGAAGGAUUUACGAUUAUGUUCCUUCCUUUAUUGCUUUUUAUGUGUUUGCUGAUAUUGAUUUUGUUUCAUAAUUUCCCUCGUGGGAGUUAUUUUGGGGUUAGCCCCUUUUCACACCAUCCCUCCUAGUAUAUGAGCUUAUCUACUUAGAAGUGAGUAAUGUGUGCUAGUUUAUAUUGGUUCCUUGAAUUAGAGCAAGAAUUUUUUCAUACUGUUAAUCUUCUUUAUGAUUAUAGCUAUCAUUCAUUUCACUAUUUGCUACAGGUACACCACUCCUUUGGAGAUGUCGUGGAAAUCCAUGUUUAUUGUAACAGGUUUCAACCGUAUGUUUUCUACAAUAAAUGAACAUCUUGUUAAAAUCUCUACCACUUGAUCCUUUGUUAUAUCCUCUAUUCCUCAAACUUGCCCAUCUCUUUCUAUCAACAACAUUAAUCAAGCCAUUGCUCUCCUCUUUGCUGAAAUAUGUGCAUCCAAAUGUUUACUAAGGUAUAAUUGUUUAUGCCUCAGACACUAAAAAUGUUUUAAUUGAACUCGAGCCUAAGGUGCAACAAUGGACUUUCCUCCAAUGCUCUUCUAAAAGAAUAACCAUCCAAAGCUCUACAUAAACAAAGUUGUGCCCAAAGAGUUUUCAUGCAUCCAACACAAUGUUUUUGUCCAACACUAUUAAGAAAACUUACACUCUUGAUUUAUAUCUUCAUCUAAGUUUUCUUCAUCCAAAACAGACACGUGAUGACUGAUGAGCUCUUUAUUAUAUGCUUAACUGCUCUUAUAUUCUCUCACUCAUUUGGUAUUCCCUCUAUUUUUUUGAAUAUACUAUAACGUUUAAUUUUCAAGCAUUUAAUGAAAAGUACAAUUUUCUGAGUAUAAGUAAAAUCUCUAUUCAAAAGCAAGCUACAUAUCGACAUUCAAUACAAAGGAAAGACUGAAAUGAGUAUAAGCAGAAAAACAAUUCAAGCCUUCAAAGUGUGUUAGUAAUUUGUAAGAAAGCAAAAGACACCUACUCCUUUCUCCUCCUGAAAAGUGUCAUAAGUUAUAAUGUAUCAAGCUUUCCAUACAUUAAAUGAAGUUCAGAACAAGAAGAAAUUCAAGGGCUCUAACACACAAAAAAUACUUCACCUCUAAUCAUGAAGAGAAGAUCAAUAGUAACAAAUCUAACAUAUUAGGAAAAUAAGCGAUAUUACAAUAUAAAGCCUUGCCUUGCUAUGCAUGUCCAAUUUGAUACACCAUGUUGCUUUUGCAGUUAGAUUUUUUUAUGGGAUAGAACAUGCAAAUUUCAUUGGUGAUAUUCGAUCCUAUUAAUGGCCGUUUACCAAAGUUGAAUAAAUUAUUUUCUAUGAUUAUAAAGCGAGAGAAUACAUUAAACCCAAAAAAAAUAAAAACUGACAAUCAAUUUCUACUUUUGUUGUUGUUCAAGUUUGUAUUUUAUUUAGUCAUAUUUAAAAUUCUUUGUUUCUCAUAAAAAAUUUAUUAUGUAAAAUGUAAAAAAAUCAAACCUAAAUCUUCUCCUCCAAGUUCAAUAUAUAUGUCAACAACUUAAGCCAUUUCCAUUGAAUUUUGCUAUCCCUAAUCUAUCCACUCAUGUGUUUGAAGUGAAUUCAUAUUCAACCAACGGAUUGAGGACACGUGAUCACAUGACAUAACAAAACUCACGUACACGUGACACAGAAGUGAUGAACCGAACAAGACUUUUUUGUUGGGAAGUUUUGGACACCAAGCUGUAACAAACACAACAUUGUGUAGUUUCUCUCCUCCUAUGUUUUUUACCACCAUCCAAAUCCAAUUUCCCAUCUUUCCUCGUAUUUCCAUUCCUUUUAUAUCUCUUUGCCCCCAACACCACCGUUUCUCUCGGGCUCUCUCAACCUUUUCUUAAUUUAAGUGGCUGCAAAGCCCCACGUGUUGCCUCCUUCACUCUUUUGGCUGCCCCCACUUUUUUUGUUCACCUCUUUCGUCAACCAAUAAUUCCUUUGGAGGUUUAGGGUUUUGAUCCUUGCAGCUCUCUCUUAAUUAAAGGAUAUUUCUUUCUUUCUUUCUUUUUUUUUUUUUUCUCUUUUCAAUAACCGCCAUGUCUAAGAGGUGAGGUUGAUCAUCCUGUGUUUUGUAUUGGGUUAAUUGACUUUUUCUUGAUGUGGGUCUUCAGUUUUGUGUUCUGCAGUUUCUCCAAUUUAUGUUGAUUAUUGAUUUUUAUAUGUUUGUGUAAAUUAUUGUUCUUAUAAUCCUGCUUUCUUGAUCUUUGAACCCGAGAAAAAACUAUUGUUUUUGUUUUCCAUCUGGGGUGUGUCAUUCAUUGAGCAGAAUUCAGAAAAAAAGGGUUGAAAGUUGAUACUUUUUUUCUUGCCCCUUUUGUUAUCGAAUUUGGAAAAUCUUUAUUUGAUUUCGAUAGCUUUUGUUAGUGGAAACUCAAUCAAGUUAUAAUUUUUAACAUAUCAUUCAUUCCAGAGACUUCUAUGGUCAUGACAGACAAUAAACCUUUCGUGGAUGUUAUAAAAAUGUUGAAUUCUGUAAAAGCAAAAUUUGGCAUUGAUAUCUAGUCUGUGGUUUGUAGUUGACACUUGAUACGAUUUAACUAUGAAAUCAUUUGAAUUGAGCCAUUUGUUUUGGUUUGUGGAAAUCUGGAUAAAAGGUUUUAAUUGGGGACCUUGGUUUUUGAUUCUUUGGACAAGUGUUGUGUGGUCCUUUUCUUUCUCUGUUAAUAUGUUCUCUAUUUUCUAAUGCAUCUUGAAGAUUAUUUUAAUUUUUGUAAUUUCUUAUCUUCUGAAUCAUGUAGGGUUCUUUGCAAGUUUUUUGCUCAUGGAGCCUGUCUGAAAGGGGAGCAUUGUGAAUUUUCUCAUGACUGGAAAGAUCCUCCAAAUAAUGUUGGUGAUGCAAACUCUUCUUUGCUGCAGACCCUAUUAAUUAAUUGAUAAUUAUUUAGAUUUCUCUGAUAAUUUUUUCUUGUUUGUCUCGUUAUGACAGAUAUGCACAUUUUAUCAGAAAGGAGUCUGUGCUUAUGGUAGUCGCUGCAGAUAUGAUCAUGUCAAAGCUUCUCGAGAGCAAUCUUCUGCUCCAUCUUCUUCAGUAACCGAACCCCAGACCCCAGUUUCAGAUACUGUUGCUUUUGGAAAUACUAGAGCUACAUUUAAUGGUGUUGCUACAGCUGCAGAGUUUUCUCUUUCCAGGAGUCCUUACUUUCUUCCUAGUGAACCAGCUUGGAAUCAAGAACCGGUUUGGAAUCAAGAGUUUGGGUAUAAUGAACCUUUAGGAGAGGACAAUGUUGGUCAAACCAUAAUCACUUCACCUUCUGAGCUUUCAAUUUGUUCAUUUGCUGCUGCUGGAAACUGUCCACGAGGGGAAAAAUGCCCUCAUAUUCAUGGGGAUCUAUGUCCCACCUGUGGAAAGCAUUGCUUGCAUCCUUUCCGACCUGAGGAAAGAGAAGAACAUAUGAAGAGUUGUGAAAAUAAGCAUAAGCAUCUUGAUGCAUUGAAACGAAGUCAAGAAAUUGAAUGCAGUGUUUGCCUGGAGCUUGUUCUGUCAAAGCCUACAGCAGCUGAAUGUAAGUUUGGGCUGCUGUCUGAAUGUGAUCAUCCGUUCUGCAUAUCCUGUAUUAGGAAUUGGCGUAGUAGUAACCCAACAUUGGGGAUGGAUGUUAACAGCACAUUGAGGGCCUGCCCUAUUUGUCGUAAGCUAUCAUACUUUGUCAUUCCAAGUGUCAUUUGGUACUCAACAACUGAAGAAAAACAAGAAAUCAUCGACAACUACAAGGCAAAGCUCAAGUAAUUUCCUGAUCACUUACAAAAUCUUAUGACAUCUUUUGCUUUUCCUAUCCAAUUAAUCCGUGAUCUAAUCACAACUAAAGCGCAGAGAGUUUUAACUUUGGGUUACAAUUAUAUGCUGCCUAGUUGAUGAGGGACGAUCCAUUUCCUUUCCUCCUUCUCUAUAUUGACCGGCGCAGCUGAUGCCAAGCCAUAUAGCAUAUAUUUCACAACAAGAAAAAGAAAAACCUCAGCUGAGUGAAAUAGUGAAUGGCUAUCUCUUUUUCUGAUACUCUUUUGGUAAUUGUUUAAUUCAUUUGUAGGUCAAUUGAUUGCAAGCACUUUGACUUUGGGGAAGGGAACUGCCCUUUUGGAACUAGUUGUUUCUACAAGGUAAUUCUGUGAAUAUAACUAGUUCUAAUGUGACUCCCCCUCUCCCCGCCUGGGCCAUUUUUCUCUUUUCCUGCUAAGCACUUGUAAUUAUCUUUUCUUGAGGCAUAUAGAUGUUUUCUUAUACACUCUUAGAAUUCAUUGCAUUAAUAAAUUAUUUUUUCAUACUAGUCUCCAAAGUGUGUACUAAAUUUGGUUUGCUAUUAAGCCAAUUUCAUUUGUCCUAAUGGCUUCAAUUUUCUAUAAAAUUAGCAUUAUAGCAUUGAAAACAAUGGCUGCAACUUGUUUCUGCCUUUCUAGUACUCAAGUCUAUUAAUAUUUGCAGGCAUACAGUUUCUAUUCCCCUACCUUGUGUUGAAUUAUGAUGUCUAGAUAGUGGUUUUGGCCAUUGAACUGUGUUAAAAGUGAGGUUUGAUUAGUGUUUUGAGGUAUCUAUUAGCAAAAUUGACUGAAGAUUGGUUUCUUCUAUCUUUACUUGCAGCAUGCAUAUCGAGAUGGCCGUCUGGAGCAGGUAGUUUUGCGACAUCUAGGGGCUGCAGAUGGUGAUACCGUAAUUGCAAAAGACAUCAGGUUGCUCUUUUCCUUCUCAUUAUCUCUGGCCUUAACCUUUCCUUUUCUCUUUUAUUUUGUUCAUUUCACUAACCUAAAACAUGAUGCUUUCAGGUUGUCGGAUUUCCUUUCUAACAUGCAUUUAAGAUGAAUGGUGUUGUUCGUAUGUUCCAGUAAGUUUCAAACUUGUGUUUCCUUUUACUUAAAUCAAGGGCGACUUUUGUAUAUGGAUUAAUGUAUAAUAAUAAUAUUUCCUUUGUAUCCUUUGCUUCAUUAUGGUGCUUUGGUUUGAAGAAUCUUAUGCUCCUCUAAGGAACUCCCUGUUCUUAAACCAACCAACAAAAUUACUUAGGCCCUCUUUGAAGAAGCUUAUCCAUAAACACUUAUAAAAAAAUAUGUGUGUAAUGGAGAAGCUUAUCCAAACAUGGCCCUAAUGUGAUUCUCGAAGUUCUGGAUACAUGAUUACUUUUGUAUUUGGUGCUUAAUUUUUUUAUUGUUAAUUUCUGUCUUUGAAGUCUCAAAUAUGAUAGUUCUUUGGGAAGCAUCACCAUUUGUUCUAUUGUUGAUAAGCUGAGCCAAACUUUUAUGGUAUUUACCCAAGUUUGAUGAUCCCAUGAAUGGUGAUUGGUUUUAUGGGUAUUUAGAGGCCAUAUCACAUUUAGUAGUCUGGUCAUAUUAUCUUUGCAUAAACAUGUUCUAUUUUAGAGUUAUUCUGGGUUGGGGUUUAAGAAAUGAAUGUGUUUAGUGUGCUUCCUUAUAGCCUUUUGAAUGUGAGAGUACAUAUCUGCCUUUUAAAUUGUUUAAACCAAGUUUCUCCUUUUACAUCUAGACAUAUGAUAUGGAAUGGAACAGGUGAAGAAAUGAAUCGACUAGUAUUUGGUUGCUACUUAGUAAAGGGUAAUCACACUGCGUAGAAGGAAGCACCACUUCUUUGGGGCCAUUUUAAGCAAUCUUAGAUUCUUUGGGCCUUCCAGAAAAUGGGAAUGAUGGACAUUAAAAGCUUAUGAACUUUGUCCUAAAAUGAUCAAAGAAAGAGAAGAUCAAAUGAUCUAUCUAAAAUUGGUGAAUGAUUAUGCAGGGUUUAGUUCUAAUUAUCUCACUUUCCAACCAUAUAGAUAUUGCCAUCAAAAGUGGAAAGAAAAAUCUGUUUUCAUCUUUCUUUGUUUUUUUAGUUAAACUAAUCAUUUGGUCCUUAAUAGGUUGCACUCAUUUAGGAAUCAGUUCAUGUAUGAGGAAAGCUUAAGUUUUAAUCACCAUACACCCUUAUUAGUAAACAUUGGUACCUGCUAUUACUAUGUUUCAGUUUUAGUCUUAAAAAACUUAAGUUUUAGUUCCUAUACGCCCUUAUAGGGAUUAAAGUUUUAAGUUUUCUUUUCCCGGUACAGGGACUGAUUCCUCAACGAGUUUCACCGAUGAGGACCUAAUGUUUAGUUUAACCUUGUUUCUCUUCCUCACUUUUUAUUCCCAAAACAUCUAGCCCUAAUGCCUACUUUUUUUUACAUCUAUGCAUAGUUGUUUGAAUAGAAUUGUUGUUAAGCUUAGUGCCUCUGUUUUUCUUUGUUAUCCCUAGUUGUGUUAAUUGCUUCCUGUGUGUUAUCUCUGCAGGAUACUUGCUUAAAAUAGCAUGCUUCAAUGUCAAAAAUUAUUUUUAUAUUGCAAGUCAAGCUCCUCUUCUUGUUUCUGUGAUAGGUGCUUUUUCAGUAAACCAUAUGCACUUGAUAACCCCAAGUUUUCUGAAAUGUAAGUUUUGUUGGUCUUGAUUUGAGAUUUUUCUUUAAAUUUGUCUACUAUUUGAUGUUGAUACCCAUAAAGUAUUAUGUAUUGCUUUCAAUCAUUUUCUAUUAUGUGUGCAUUAUUUUCUCACUUUCUCUUAGAAUGUGGGUUUGGGCCUAACUCAAUCCCGAAAGCUAGUUCAUUGGGUGAGGGUCCCCCCCCACUUAUACACUCUAUGUUGGCCUUAUUUCUAGCCGAUGUGAGACUUGGGUUUUCUCCGAUACUUUCAUUGAAAUUGUUUGUGUAAGCAUUUGAUCCUGUGGCCCCACCACAAAAAGGAAUCAUAUAUUCAUUCUUUCUUUUGGUCUUCGUUUUGUUGCCAUUUGUCACAAAAUUUAUCAAUGUUAUGUUGGUAGCUUUUGUUAAGAGAUUGUAAAGGCAAAUAUUACAAGAAAGGGAGUUGAAUUGUGAUUUUAGUAAUUUUUAAGUCUUUUCACAAUUAAAGAUUUUUUAUCUGAAACAAAAACUUUGUAGAAACAAAUAACAGAUCUUUUGAAAAAAAAAAAAAACUUAGACGGAACAAAACAAAUACAUGAAACACAACAUGUUUACAAAAGCCUAAAAACCAAUUUAGACCUUGGGUUAGUUGAAAGCAAAAGGAAAGCAAUAAAAAUUAGACACAGAAAUUUAUAUUGAUUCGUCUCUACCACCGAGACUACAUUUACUUCUUAGCAAAAUACCAAGUUUCACUAAUUUCUCACGAGUUACAAGUAUUGUAUCACGACCACUUCUGACUUUACAUAUCAAGUUCUACCCCAAGCUUGAUCAACACCCAGUAUUCUUUGACCUACCAAGCCAUUGUUGGCUCUAUGCAAAUCAAAAUAGAUUUGUGGUUGAGGUUUGCUUAGAGACUAAAUCUAGAAACGUCUUACAAAUGGAUACUAUCAACGCUUAGUCUUUUUCUCUCAAUAUGUUCAAAAUGCUUUGAGAGCUUUUUCUAACUUUACAGGAAUACACAUAAAGCUUUUUGCAGAAAGAAUAAUGAAUGUUUUUAGUACAAGGUUUUUUAAGUCUUCAAAGCUUCUGGUUUAUAUAGGUCUCAUCUUCAAGUAUUCGUUGUCUUACAAUGGGUAGAUUUCUUCACUUAAUCUUCGUGUAAUGAAUAUGACCAUUGGGAGCAUUUAAUGCUUGCAUUAAAUGCACAUCCUUCCCUCAUACAGAAAGUUCACUCUUCAAAGCUUGCGUGUUUGAGAAUUGCAACAGGUAGUCACUUCUUUGUGUCAUAGCAGGUCUUGUGUAGCAAAACUCUUCUUUUGAUAACGAUUGAGGAAUUUCAAACCUUGACUUCAUUUAUUCUUCAUAGGAUUUGACAGAACCUAGGAAAAUGUUUCUGCAAAAGAAAUCUCAAACACAAAGCAUUAAAUGAAGUCUUAAAUGUCAUCUCAAAUGUCAUAUCAAAUCAUGACUCCAUCUGCCAAUCGUCUGAAACAUCAGACACAGAUUUCUUAAGACAUGUUCUAAUAAAGCAUCAGAUAUGAAACAUCAGACACUUGUUUCGCAUAAGACACAAUUUUUAACCUUUGCAUUUGUUUACAUCUAAUCAAAAUAAUUAAGGGUCUUGAUUCGUCUUAAGAUAUAAAUGUCUUUUGACUCAACAGAGAUGUAACAUAAUACCAUUCUUUUUUUUUUUUUUUGUGUUUUGGGAUUGUUGCUUCUUAUUUUCUGGACUUGGUAUGAGAGUCCCAAUGACUAAGUGAUGGGGUGUCAUUGAACCAUCUCCAACCUCACCCAUGCUGUUGAGCAUUAGCCAAAUGAAACGGUUUUCUCCUUACAGGUCCCCAUGGCUUCCUCCCCAAAAUUUUAGCCUCCCUUUUUUAUAAAUUGAGCUUGGUACUCUUAAAUCAAGGAAGGAUCUCGAGCAUUGCAAUAUUUCCCGACCUCAUCUCUAGAAGUAAAAUCCUUGUAUUUACCUCAUUCAAUUGUAAAGUGGCCCUCUACUUCAAUUGUGGCCAAAUGUAUUAAUAGUAAACUGACCUAAAGGAUUGGUUGGUUCCCUUUGAAGCAUGUCCUUCUUUUAGGAUAGACUCCAUGUUUUCCUUUUUCAUGACCCCCAUUCCCUUUCAUUAGUGAGUUGGGCUUGACCCAUUAUGUAUAGAAAAUAGUUUCCUUUUUCAACAUUCUAGUCAUUCUCUCUACUGAUUUGGGCCCAUAGGUCAAAACUGGGCUUAGGUGCUGCAAUUCAAGUUAUGUCCUUCCUUUUCCAUAAUACUCAUGCUGCUUUUGGUUGUAGUGUGUAGCCAUCUUUGCCAAUGUCUUGUGACUCUUGUCUAAAAUAAUCCUAUUGGUCUUUGUAGGAGUUUGGGGUGUUGUCAGAGUAAAAAAGAAAGGUGGCAACAGAUAAGACACAAACAAAAUAAGAAACCUGAUCAUGAAUCCAUGCAAAAGGCAUAAAAUGUGUCGAGAAAAACGAGUGAACAUGUAAAUGAAUCCUUGUGUCUUGACUCCGCAACAGAGACUCUUAUUUAUAGUUAAAUUGAUAAUUGUUAUAGCACACAAAGGCUACAAAAGGCUGUGGUGUUAAAAUGAUUUAUUUGAUUUGAAUACUGCUUGUGGAUUGUCUUAGCUUAUAUUUUUAUGUAAGUUUAUUGUUAAGUGGCGUUCAAUUUUUGAGAGUUGACUAGUAAUUAGUAAUAUAAGAAAGGGUGCAAGUAUCAGCACACUUUCAGGCAAGCUGUUCUCUCUUUCCUAUAACAUCAAGUUGUGGUGUUGGUGUUUUCCCUCGAACCCUUACAUUUUACUUUGGAACAAUCGGUUUCUUGAAGUUGUAAUUGUGAACUGUUUUUUUUUUUUUUUGUGUGUGUUUUAUUGUAAACUGUGUUUGCUAACAUUGGUUUCUUUAUUGUCUUUUAAUCAAAAUUUCAGGGGUACCUGAGAAAGAACCUGCACUGUGCAUUCUGUCGUUGUUGUAAUAAAGUGCAUGUGUUAAAUGGUAGAUGGACAUGCUAUGAGGGUAUAAACUUAAAAUAAGUUCAAUUUUUAAAGCAGAUAAAUCCAAGUAUGGAUUGAUGGUGGUAUACUCUAUUUGAAGCAUGGUGGAAAGCACUCUUUUAGCCAUCAGUGAGACUUUUAGAAGCAUUUCUUUUGUCUGGUGGAUUUCAAUGUUAAUAUGCAAAUAUUGAUAUUGGGGUGAUGAAGUUUUCCUGUUCACAUUAUUGAGAUCUUAAGAUAUACCUUUUUAUUGUAUACUGGGAUUCCCUUGCUGUGGGUGGCACUGCACCAAGAGUCUUGGGAAAGGGUUCAACAUAUGUAUCGGUUUUGUUAUCUCUUAUAGGACUUUGUCAUGGCCCUUUAGGGGCUUAUAUUGGUGACCCGUUUCCUUUUGAUGAAUAUACGAGUAUAAUCGAAGUUUCACCCAUUGAAUAUACGACUCCUAGUGAAAUUUCAUUCAAUUUAAGAAGCCAGUAUAGGGGGAAGUUCUGUUAUUUAAUACUAUUAAUUUAGUUUUACUUGGUCAAAUUUUGUUCAUCUCAUUUCAAUUGCAAUAAUAUUAAAUCAAAUUUUUAGAAGAAAUGUUAAUUUAUUCUAAAAAAUUAAUUGAACAACCCUCCAAAUUAGAAAUAAAAGCCUACAUGAAUGAGUAUUGUAGCAUUUUACAUCCUCAUUUUGGGCCAUGUAAAGUGAGUAGAUUUCCAUUUUGGUCCUUCUAACUCUCUCUCUCUCUCUCUUUUUAAAUUUCAUUCCUAGAAAAUUUGAAAAAAAUGUUUUUGAUUCUUAUUAUCAAGUGACAUCCGUUAGAUUCAAUGAAAGGUCAUGUUACUGUUUAUGUGGUACUAUGUUAACACGUGGCACUUUAAAAAAAAUGGAUAUGAAAAAUAGAGAUUUUUGAAGGAUGAAAAUAAAUUCUUUUACAGGAACCGAAACUAAAAUUUGUUUAUUUUAUAAGAAAAAAAAACAGUAAUUUUAGGGCUUGGGAGUAUUACUGUUUUUUUUUUUUUUUCUGAAUGAGAACAUAUUAAAGCCUAGGAACCUUUAUGAAAGAAGAUACAAGCGAGAUUCGCCUAUAGGGCAUCAGAAAUGAAAUCAAGAAUUACAUUAAAAAUUCUUAAUGGCACCUGAAUGCCUAGACCAUUUGCCAAGACGCUACUUCACCAUAAGUCAAGAUAAACAUUGUUUUGAAAGGACUCUGCGAAAUCGCUUAACACUUUAACAAAAAUGCACUUUUGAUUUAACUUUUCACCUGCCGAUGUAUCAAUUGUGUUAUGCUUUUGCAAAAGAGCGUGAGUCAAAGUAUUGUUUGGAACAAUACAUAAUAGGUCUUUAUACUGGUUUGUAUGAGACGUGAUAGGCUCCUUUGUGCUGGCUUCCUCUCCAAUUGAAGAGAAUGGAUUCGAAUGCUCAAUCAAGCAAUAGCAAUUCGAGCUACAGCUAGGGAGUCUCACUCAAUCAACCCAAUGGCAUGAUGUUCUGCUUAAUGGGCUUGUUUUGUUCUCGCGGAUGGACUGAAGAACCCUAAAUAAAGGGUACCCUCGUAGGUCGGUACACAGUUUUGUGUAUGACAUAAAUAGGUCUAUACACAGUUUUGUGACAUAAUCAGCUUAUAGAAUAAGUAAUGGGCAAGCAUUAAAAUUGCAAGAAAUAGAAAUUGCAAGACAUAAGUUUUUAGAGGAUUUCAUUAAAUAAUUAUGAUAGUGGUGUUCCUUUUAUAUUGUGACCUCAGUGCGCCUUGCUAAAACCUCUUCAACCAAAAUCCAUUAUUUUUUACUUGGGAAAAAUGACUGAAGUAGAAAAAGAGUAUGAUACAUGGUUUUAACUGAAGUAUGGUUUCAAAUGUGUUGCAUUCUAGGUCCUUGGAAUGACCUUUCCAGCAAGCUCUUCAAGUCAAAAAGCAUCAUUCUAUAGUAUUGCGAUGACUCUAAAGGGUCUUCUUAGUUUGGGGUGAGCUUCCCUUUAUUAUAGUCUUUUCUUGCUUCUCCCUUCAUCCUCCAAACGAGAUCUCCAACUCAGAAUUCUCCCCUUUUCAGUUUUGACCCGUGCUUCUGAGUUGCUCUCCUUUUGCAAACUUCCUCCUCAAUAUAAGCGUGAUUUCUCACCUUGUCAAUCAUGUACAAUUCGAAAGCAAGGUUUUCAUUGUUGAGUGCCUCAUCAAAAUGGGUUCUUCUUAUUAAGGGUUCAUCAACUUCCACAGGAAUUAUGGCAUUAGUGCCAUGUGUCAAUCGGAAAGGAGUUUCCUUCGUCGUGGAUUAAGGAGUGUAGUGAUAUGCUCACAUAAUACUAGGCAAUUCUUCAACCCAAAGUCCUUUUGCUUUCUUCAUCUCGCUCAAAAUGAUCUUGUUCGCUGCUUCUGCUUGUUCAAUGGUUUGAGGGUGUUAGACAAAAGACAACAAAUUUUUUAUGCUGAGCUCCUGCAGGAACUGGUCAUACCCCUUAUCUACGAAUUGUUUGUUGUUAUCAAUGACUUUGGAAAAGGGAAGGCCAUGUAUGCAAAUUAGCAACUUCCAUGUGAACUUCUGAAUUUUUUGGGCAGUGAUUCUUGCAAGUGGCUUCACCUUGAUCUAUUUGGUGAAAUAGUUUAUUGCCACUGAUAGGAACUUUACCUGUCCCUUCGCAAUUGAGAAAGCUCCUAGGAUGUCCAUGCCCUAGAAUGCAAAUGACCACGUUGGGUGUAUGUUGUGCAACUUCUCAGGUAGAGCAUGAUGGAGGUUGCUAAAUUAUUGGCAUUUUGUACAUUUCUUCGAAUACUCCAUGUAGUCAGUUUGCAAUGUCGGCCAAUAGUAACCAACUUAGAGGACCCGAGCUGCCAUGCUUCUUCCUCCUGAAUGAAAACCAUAAAUGCUUUUGUGUAUCUCCUCUAUAAUGCAUUGUGCAUCCUUUUUAUCUACGCAUUUCAACAGUGGUGUGGAGACUCCUCAUCAAAAGAUUUCUUCAUCAAAUACGGCAUAGUAGGCUAAUUUCAGCUUCACCUUCCUGGCUUCGCUGUUGUCACUUGGUAGUUGGUCAUUUACUAAGUAUUUCCAUAUGACGUUCAUCCAAGAAUCUAUGCUUGGGGCAGCCAGAGUCUCCUGAAUGCAUGUUCUAUGCAGACCUUGCCUCUUAGAGCUUGUCAAUCUUGACAAGACAUCGACUCUAUCAUUGUCUUCCUGAAACAUGUGAAAGAGUUCAUGUUCCUCAAAGAAGUCAAGCAAGUGCUUUGUUAGAUGGUAGUAUUUUUGCAUUUGUGGAUCCUUGGCUUGGAAUUCUCCUUUCACCUACUAGUGACGAGCUCGGAAUCACUCCUACAUCGUAUCUUUUUCACUCUAACCUCAUUUUCCAAUUUAAGGCAUGCGAUCAAAGCCUCAUAUUCAACUUGAUUGUUAAAGGUUUUAAAAUCGAACCUUAAUGGCUGCUCAAGAGAGAUGUCUCCUGGUCCUUCAAGUGUAAUUCCUGCUCCACUGCCCUUUGUAUUGCAUGCUUUGUCAAUGUAGAACAUCCACCAGUCUCCACCAUCAAUGCUACUGGGAUCGGUAGAGGGGGAAAGUUCUACAAUGAAAUCAGCCAAGCAUUGAGCUUUGAUAGGCCCAUGAGCCUUAAACUUUAAGCCAAACUCGAACAGCUCCACAAACCAUGCAACCAUCCUUCCAAUUAGUUAUGGCUUACAAAGAAUUGGCCUAAUAGGGUGAUCGGUCUUGACUUUGAUUUAGUGGCUUUGGAAAUGCGAGCGCAACCUCCUUGUGGAUUUCACCAACAAUGAAGCCAUUUUUUUUUCUUUUGAUAUCUUUUCUCUGCCCCAUGUAAGACCGGCUAGUGAAGUAGAUUAACAUUUGUCUUUCGGCACCCUCCUACAUCAAUACUGAACUGGUGGAUGUGUUAGAAACAAAUAAGAAAAGUAAAAGUUUAGCACCUGAUGUAGGUCGGGUUAGGAUAGGAGGAGUCACUAGGAAAUUCUUGAACUUUGUAAACAUAUUUUUUCACUCUUCAUUCCAAUCAAACUCAUCUUGUGAUUUCUUCAGCAGCUUGAAGAAUGACUUUGCUUUCUCUGCCAUCUUGGGUAAGAAUCGAGAAGCUAGCUUUCUAGUUAACUUCUAGACUUCAAUUACAUUUUAUGGAUUUCUCAUUGCUAUGACGGCUUCACAUUUAUCUGGGUUUGCCUCUAUUCCCUUAUAUGUUAGCAUAAAACCAAAAAAUUUACCUCUUUCAACCCUGAAGGUGCAUUUCUUGAGGUUGAGCCUCAUGUUAUGCUUUUUGAGUUCCGUAAAGAUCUUAGCUACGUCACCAGCAUGUUGGUUGGGAAAGGAUGACUUCACCACCAUAUCAUCUACGUACACUUCCACAUUUCAUUUGAUCUGCUUUUUGAAGACCUUAUCCAUGAGCCUCUGAUAUGUUGCACCUGCGUUCUUGAGGCCGAAGGGCAUAACUUUGUAACACAAGUUAGCUGCAUCAGUGAUGAAGGUUAUCUUUUCUUAAUUGAGAGAGUACAUUUUCAUCAGGUUGUAGCCUGAAUAGGCAUCCAAAAAAUUGAGCAGUCUAAAGCCACAUGCUCCAUCUACUAAUCUACCAUUGCUUAGCAAACGAUAGGCAUCCUUGGGACAAGCUCUGUUGAGGUCAGUGUAGUCUACACACAUUCUCUACUUCCCUGUUGCCUUCUUUACCAUGACCACGUUGGCUAACCAAGUGGUGUAGUUCACUUCUUGGAUGAAGUCAGCCUUCAAUAAUUUUCAGGUUCUGCUUCUAUGGCCUUCUACCUUUCCUCUCCAAUUUUGCGUUUUCUCUAGGCCACAGGCUUAGCCUGAAAGAAAAUGGCGAGUUUAUGGAAAAUGAAGUUUGGAUCAAUGUCUAGCAUAUCAAAGGCAUUCCAAGCAGACAGGUCGGUACUUGCAAGGAGCACAUACUCUAUUUCUUUUCGUAUGGUAUCUUCCAUUUGCUUGCCAAUCUUAGUGCACUGAUGUGCCUCCUUGCCAAUUUGAAAAGGUGUGACAUCUUAAAUCCGGGUGGAUCACCGAUCUUCAAAGUCUACACAUGGGUCUAGAUCCUCUAAAGCACUGAUGAAUGCAUUGACACUAGAGGUUGAUGCCUUACUCACGUCCUCCCUUACGCUGUAUAGUUCAAUCUUGCAACUCUUCACAUAACAUUCUCUUACAUCCACUUGAUUAGCUUUAACGAUGAUGAUCUCUCCUGUUAAUGAUGGGAAUAUCAUGGUUAGGUGCAUUGUGGAAAUAAUGGCUCCAAUUAUGUUUAGAAAGGGUAUCUUAAGAAGAACAUUGUAUGAGGUAUCUGCGUCUACUAACUCAUAUGGGACCAUUAAGGAUUGAGAGAACUUGUUUGAGCCGAAAGUUGUUAGCAUAUCCACUUUACCUCUAGUAUGUACGCAAUCACCUAGAAAACCUAUCAUUGGUUUCUCGUGAGGUUGUAUAAGAUUGUGAGAGAUACAAAUUUUUUCAAACACAUACCAAUACAAAAUAUUGGCUCCACUUCCCUGGUCAAUAAGUGUUUUUCGGAUUGCCCAACUAGUAAUAACAAUCAUUGCCACCAUAGGAUCAUCCGAGUGGAAUCACUUCCAAUGAAGUUCGCGUUUGUGAACAUAAUGGCUGGUAGAGAUUGACAUGGUGUCUCCUCAGUUUGUACGAAGUUGAUGCUCUUGAGUGCUCGUAGAUGACAUUUCCUGGAUGAGUUCGUAUAACCUCUGCCAACGAAACCACCAACAGUUAUGUUGAUGACUCCUCAAACUUCUCCUUGGGGGUUUUCUUGUUGUCUUUGUUCGCCUUCCUCGACUUGUUGUUGGUUGUUAUUACCACAUCUUCUUGCAUAGCCACCCUUGUAACCACCUCUACGGCUACUUCUUCCUCCCUGCUAUACACCACGAUUAUAAUUAUUUCCUCGAAUGAAAUCAUUUAGACAUCCUUUUUGGACCAAUUCCUCGAUUUUAUCUUUCAAAACUAUACGUUCUUCUAUAGAAUAGCCAUAGUUUUGAUGAUAUCUACAUUGUUUGGUGCGGUCUGCUUGACUGUGGGAGCCUGUUGGUUGGGGGAAUGCAAGUAUUUCUGCAUUGAAUGCUUCUUCUAGUAUGCAUGCUCAGCCAUAGUUUCAACUGUCUUGGUUGUCUCUUAAAGUCUAUCUCCUUAACAGGUGUGAGCUUUUCUUUGUUGGAAUCAGGCUUCUCUUGAUCUCACCCUCUGACCUUGUCAUGGUACUCGAACAACUCUUCCAUUUGGAUAGAACCGAUUGCACGAUGUCCCAGUUCAUCCAUUUUUCUGGGUCAUUUCUUGCACAAACUACCUACAAUUGCUCUAGGCUUGAGUGUUGCUAUCAUAGAGUGAAAGGCUAAUCCAGGUUCGAGGUCUUGGAUUUUGACUGCAAUUUGUGUAAAUUUAUAAGUUAUAUCGACGUCGAAUGAUGCAGCUGACAUGUGGCAUACUGAGCAUUGAAGCAUUCGACUAGUGUGUUGAAUGUAUUGAUCGUUCGGGGAGGGAGUUGAUGCCACCAUGUCAGAGCGGGUCCCUCCAAAGAACUCGGGAAAACCCUGCAUAAAAUGGUAUCAUCGUUAGUGAAUAAGUUUACCUACGUAAUAUAUGCUUCUGAGUGUUCAUUAGGAUCCGUGGUUUUGACAUAUUGAUUGAUGUUCAGAGGCUUCCAUCCCAAGGGUAAAGGAGUCUCGAUAAUUCCGUUGACAAAAGGAUGUCGUCGAAGCAACUCGGCGGGCUAACUAUGGGACCUCUCUGGUGUAAUCGCCCCAUGGUGUUUGUUUGACGAUUAUUGUUAUGUGAUGAGCAUUUUAUCUUCGAUGCAGCGAGGUGGGUUGGGAUCGUGUUCUAUGUAUUUGUGUUCGAAUUCUGCAAUUGGGCUCGGAUGAGAUCAUUCUCUUCACAUAAGGCUUGUAAGUCUACCUCCUGCUUUUGUUGCAAGGAGGCCAUUUCUUCUUCUGUAGUGCUUCUAAUUGCUCCUGGAAACCUUGUUUUGUUGAACUCUCUUCCAUGUAGUCAACCAUAGUGUCGAAUUCCUGAUCAAUACCAUAUAUUUGGUGUCCAAAGAAAAUUUCACUUUGGCCCCACGGUGAGUGUCAAAUGUUCUUAUCACUCUCAGAAUGUUCUGACUUGUACUCUAUCUUCCUCGUCUCAAUCUGAGCUCCUUCUCUAAUGGUGGAGGAGCACCACCUGAAAAGAGAUUUUUUGGUGAGUUUAGCGAGAAAAUAAAUGUUACUUACUUGUCUUUGCUACUAUUAACAGGAGAGGACCAUUACCAAGUUGAUAAUGGUUCACCGGGACCCAUACUAGAUAGUGGUGGGUUGGUUAAAACCAUGGUAGAUAGUGGUGAUUGAGGACCCCCUUGUAGUGGGACCCAUAUGGUACAAGAUUGAAAAAAUUAAUUAUGGACAUCAUUUUUUUUACUUACAUUAAAGUUGGAUUAGAGCCAUUCAAAAAAGAAUGAAGUUGGAUUAUAAAUUAAAUUCUUAAUUAAAAGCUAACUAUACUAUUUUUAGUGUUUUCAAUUUUUAUUUCAGAGAGCUCUAUAGCCAUCUUGUGUACGUUUUGAUCUCAUAACCUUAGAUUUCAAUUUCAAAAAAUUAAUCAAUCCUAAAACUAUAUCACACACUGAAAAUAAAAUAAUAAUGAUAAUAAUAUAUUAAUAACCAAAGUCGAUGGACGUAACAAGGAUAUCAAAAUCAAAUCCUUAUUUCUCACUAACACCUACAAAAUAACGAUUCAAUAUUUAAAUAGCAUAAAAUAUCUCUAUUGGUAUUCACAUAUCAACUCAUAAUAAUCACCACUCCAUAACGUAGUAUAAAAGCAGAAACAAUGAAUGUAUGUGCUGAACGAAUCAAUAAUAUGUUCACGCGAAAUCCACAAGAAAAUGAAAAUUCGGAAUCAUUAGAUUCAGUGCUUGAAGAUGGCGAACAUUGACAACACGACCGAAGCUCCAAUCACGGCCAUCGAACUCGAAACGGAUCCGGCAACUCCGACAUCGGGUCCCUGCGCAGGCGCCGGAGACAAAUCUUGAGCGGUGGCGGCGGCGAAGAAAAGCGCCACAAUAAGAGCAAUGACAAAGGACUUGAAAGAGGUUGCUUGAGAUGCCAUUGUGAAUAAAAAAGAUGAUAAUAUAGUGAAUAUGUAAAGAGGAAGAGAAAACAAUGAAGAAAGUUUUUGAAGAUGUUAGGGUUUUUUCUUAAUGUGUAAGAGUCAAGGGAGAAAAGGGUAUUUAUAGAGAUUGUGAGAAUGUGUGUGGGGCCCACGGAAACGUGGGCAGCUGGAAGGCGAGGAGCAUGUGUGGGUGUAUUGAGGUGUGAAUGAAUGGUGGUGAGUUGGUGGAGAUUCGAUGUUAGGGUUUCACAAUGCUUUACGAUUUUUCAAAUGAUUGGUGGUGCAUGUAGUAAAGAAAGAGAUCUAGUUUUAAACAGAAGACAUUGGUUUCAAGUUUCAAUUCAAUUUGGUAUCAAAGUUAACAGCUAACGUUUCUAUAAUUAAUUAGGUGUUUGGUGAGCGAAGAUUUUAGUGUCCAGAUGGUAAUGUGAAUAAUAAAAUAUAAAGCACAAAUAAUAUAUUUGUAAACUAUAAACAAUUAAAUUAAUUAUGUAUGUUUAGUUUAGUUGGUUAAGCAAUAUAAUUGAAUGUUUGUAAUUUUUUAAGUAUAGGGUUUCUUCUCCUGCUUUUGCAUAAAAGAAAUCGAAUACAAAAAUAAGAAGAAAAAAAUUUAAAAUUUUAAGAAUACAAGAUAGAAGACAGAGAGAAAAAAACAAAGACCCAUAACUACCAUAGUGAACUUUUAAUUAAUAGGAUAAAAAUGAAAUAGAAAAAUAAGUGAAUUUAUGAUUAUAAUUUUUCUAAAUCGACUCGUAACAGUAAAAAAAAAAAAAACUUUAGUAUUUUUAGUGUCUUCAUUUCUAGGAGAUUUAUAGCCAUUUUGUGUGAUUUAAUUUCUAUCUCAACAAAUUGGUAGCGGUUGCUUGAGCUAACCUUCCUAAUCAAUUGAAUUAUUAACAUGAAAUUGAAUUUACAAAUAACGUCCAAAAUUUAAUACUAAUAUUUCAAUAGAGGAAUAAUUGCAGCUUGAAACCAUUUUAUCAUUAGAAAAAGUAAUGUUUGCACUGACCGUAUAAAUGACUUUUACUCUAUCAUUUAAUUAUAAUUAGUCAUAUAUGAUUUUUUUUAUUUAUAAAAACUACCUUAAAAAAUAUCUCAACUAUGAUGUUUUUUUAUAUGGAACUAUGAUUGUUAAUUGAUUCAAAAUAUAAAACUUUUUAUUCUAAGAAUGCAUAACAUUAAACUCUUUUCACAAUUUUAAUAAAACAUUGUUUACCUCAAUUUAAUUUCUUCGUUCAACUUGUAAACAUUAGACAUUUCUUGAAGCUCGAUCUUUCUCCUGAUGGCUAAGAGAUAGCAUGAACAAUAGAAGAACUUGUUUCAUCCAUCAAUAAAUAUUUCAUAGUACAUUUUACAUCUUUUCUUUUAUAUAUUUCUAGAUAGUAGAUAAAAACAAAAAUAGGAAACUUCUAGAGCUUCAAAAAUAGUUAUUAAAUUGUUAGGACCAUAUAAAAACAUUUUUCUUAAAAUUGUUGUUAAUAUAUAUAUAUAUAUAACGAAUAAUAAAUAUUUUUUUAUAAUCAUUUAUGUAAAUUCAAUAUAUUCUACACAUACAGAGGAACACAUAAAGUUGUACAUGGUAAAAAAAAAAUUGUUGAAAUAGUUUGUUUGCAAAUUUCCUAAAACUAUUCAUAGCUUCUUCUCUCCAUUGAAAUUAUAGCUCAUUAUCGAACUUCUUGAAGAGAUAAAAGAGAACCAUGAUAUAUCUUUUUUAUUAGAGGUUGAAUCAAUCAUCAAAGGCUUUUCAAGUUCUUUGUAAUUAUUGCCUCUAAUUCUAUCUAUCUAAAAGAAACAAAUACUUAAUUUGUCAAUAUCAAUAAAAGUAAUUUACUUAAUUAAUUUAAAAUAAUAAUAUCAUCAAUUUAAAUUUUAUUAAAAAAAAUAUUCAUAACAUUAAAUUAUUUAAGUGCAGAAUAAUAUUAUGCCAAUUAAUCUAUAUAUUCAUUGGUAAGUGGUGGUCGGGGUUUGAAUGAUGGGUCCCUUUCUUUCUUUCUCUUAUUCUCCCGAUCAUUGGCGGAUGCACCUUAUAAUUGCCCCACAAGAUUUUUUUUGUUUGAUAAUGUAUAUAAAAAAUAUUUGCCCUCAUAAAUUAUAUAUUGUCUUCAUUGGAUUUUUUUAAUCCAAAAUCCAAACAAACAUAAUACAUUCAAUAUAAAAAUUACAUGCUUAAGCCCAAACCAUUAAGCCCAAUUUUCAUUAUUGUUGCAGUAACAAAAAAAAUACAUCACACAUUACAUAAAACACAUCGUUUUUCAUGUAACAUCCCAAAAAUAAUCUAAUAGUUAUUUAGAUAAAGAUUAUCUAAAUAUAUAUUUUAGUAAAGGAAAAAAUAGAUUAAAUUAUUUGAAUAUAUUAAAUUGUUAUAUUUUUUGAAAAUAUAUUAGUAUAGUAAUAUAUUAGAUUGGAUAAAGAUUAUAAAAAUAAGAGAUAAAGAAAUAUUGGUUAAACAAGUCUAAAAAGAUAAUUUCAAAUUACGUACAAUGCUUAUAUAAGGAUAGACGGUUCUUUUUCCUAGGCUUACAUGAAUAAUUAGUCUCUUUUGACAUUAGUGGGUUGCUCAAAGAUUGAGGAGAAGAAAGAAAGCGGAGAAAUUCUAUUGAAACAAAAAUAAUGAAGAACUUGAAUUACUUGUUUCAAGAUUAUACCUUUUCAAAACUUGCAUGGUAUAAUUCUUUUAGGAGCAUUUUUCUUUUAUUGUGUUCUUGAUAUAAAGAAUUUAUACUUAAUGAUGUUUUAAUGUUGAUUAUUUCAAUGAAGGGCAUUACAUUUUACACACUAAAUUAGUAACUUAUCACUCACGUUUGAUUGCAAUGUGAAUCGUCUCUUACUCCUUCUAACCCUCCCAAUUCUCAAAAUGACCAAACAUUACUAUCCCUCACCCUAAAUCACUCAGUCACUCACUUACACUUUUUUUAUUCAUUUUUCCUAAAUAUAAUUAGAUUUAAUCCUUAAACUUAUUCAAUUAUUCAUGUUCAUGGAAUCACAGUGAUCUCACUCGUGGAUGUGUGUGUUGGGUGCAUUUGUAGCAUUGUGGAGUUGUGGUCUUUGUGAAAUAGCGGUAAGACUUUUAUAUAAAAAAAAAGGUCUUUUACUCUUUUCAAAUUUUUAAUAUAAAUUAUUGAUGAGAUUUAACAUAGUGUAGGGGGUUUUAUUUGUAAGCAAUAGAGAGAUUAGCUUUAUUUUGUUUUUUAGCUUUUUUUUUGUAGUGUGCUGAAAAUGUUUUUUUUUUUUAAAAAAAAGGGAUUCCACAACACCAUUAGAGUCAUUUUGCAUUUGAUAAGGAAAAGUUAAUUUGUUUGGCUAAGUUUUAUCCAUAAGAAUUUUCUUGUGUGGAACUUAUGUGACUUGAAAGUCAACUUAAAAUUUUUGUUAGAGAUGCUCAGUCUGAUGAUCAGUUUUUAAAGUUAAAAAGGAUUGUUGAUCUUUCUCAAAUGUUGGUGAAAACUAAAAAACAUAUUGUGUAUCCAAUGGUAUACUUGUUCAUGAAGUUAGCUUUGAUUUUGACUGUGGCAACUGCAACAGUUGAAAGAUGUUUCUAUGCAAUGAAUUUCAUAAAAAAAUAUAAUAUAGAAUCGCAUGGGGGAUGAAUGGUUGAAUGAUUGUUUGGUUACAUACAUAGAGAGAAAUAUUUUUGAUAGUAUUGACAAUGAAAAAAUCAUAGAACAUUUUCAAAUUAUGAAAAUGCAUAAAAGACAAUUGUAAUUUGUAGAAACUUAAAUACUUUAGAUUUCUUUUAUCACAAUAUUAUAUAUUUUGUAAUAUCUUUUGAUAUUUUACUUUUGUGAAAAUAUUAUAAAUUAUUUCUUUCUCUCACUAAGAAAAAUUUAUGGAUUCGUUAAUGCUCGCAAUGGUUCAUCUCUUCAUAGACUCAAUGUCACUGCUACCAAUAAUGCCUCCAAAAUUUGUCAUAAUCAAUAAUCUCUCCUCUUUGCUCAGCCAACUUGUUGCCAGCCUAUCCAAUUUCGACCUUGCUCUAACUAUGUAUGAGAUCUUCAUUGUAGUGUGUCUCACUUCCUCCAACAAGCUUCUUAGAUCUGUCAGAUCCAAGCCCAGAUCUAAGUCUAGAGUUAAAAGUAGUAUUAGAGGAAGUUGCUCAACUUCCCCAACCUCCAACACUAAGUUUCCUUCGUCGGUGGAGACGUCAAGGAGUUCAUGUUGAUUCAUUCCUCUAUCGACAACAAGAUUCAGGCCAUUUGCAAAAGGUUGACCGAGUUGUGGAAACAAGGAAAAAUCUAGUUACGUGCAUGGAAAUUUGAACCCAAAACCAAAGAUUUGAGAAUAAUUUGUUUCUUUGAUUUGAUUUUGGUUGAUUUCUUGUCUUGGUGUGAAUAAUGCAUUUCUUUGAAUUUUUUUUUCCUAGAUUUGAUUUUGGAGAUAGGGAGUACAAUUUUAUGUUAGGAAAACAAUUUCUAGUAGCUAAAAUCAUUAAUGAGACAUAAGUUUCGGGACAAAGUCAAAAUUUAAUUCAAGAACUUAAAAUAAAAUUUAUCCUUCAAACUGGUGAUAAAAAAUAUGAUUUCCAAAAACAAUAGUGUGAUUGUUGAUAUUUCAAAUAAAAGAACAAUAAGCAGCAAAAUCAAUAUUCCCCCAAACUUGCAAGAAUCUGCGAUGAGUGCUAAUAAAAAUAGAGAAAAACCAAAACCACAAAAUAUGUGCUAGAGACACACAAAUUUUAAUGUGGAAACCCCCUCUAUGUAAGACCAAAGAAAUAACUUCACUAUGAUCAACAAAUGGUACAUGAAGGUCUCCAACAAGUAUGCACAACAUUCAUACAAUCAAACAAAUCAAGUAAAGCACCAAUGCUUACAAAUAAGGAACAAAAGGAUGAAAAGCCCCAUAUACAGAGAAGAAAAGUGCAAAGAACUAUCUCCCUCUCUAGACCUUGUUACAUCAAUCCAACCAAACAAAAUGAAGCAUCACAUAUGCUAAAUCUAUUAUCCAAACGAUUAAUGAAUCUGCACUUGCAAUCCGAAUAACAGUUGUCUGGUGGGUGUGAGAAAAUCUUUAUGUUUUGUCCUUUUCUCUACUUUCUCAUUGUUUGUUGCAAUCUCACUCAGUAAAAUGAGCCUCCCUUCUUACCUUAACGUGACCCCUCUCCAUUAGGUUAAGUGAGACAUAAUGGGCCAAUUUAUUUAGGUUUUUUUUCACAUAAGAAGGGAGCCAAAACCCAAUAAGAAAGAUUCAAGAUAUUUGUAAGUCCCACCAUAUUGGUGAAGUCCACAAACACCUUGAAUAUUUCUCUUUCCAUCUAAAAAAUUUCAAUACUAAAAAGGAGCUAGACCCUUGUUAACUACCUUGGUCUUAAGACUUGAAUGCAUAUUAGAAUGAUGAGUUUUGAUGGGAGAAAAGAAACUUAAAAAAUGCUUCCUAGUUCAAUUGCAUUCUAUUGAUUUUCUUUUGCUAAAUAUUGAGGUUGAUAAUAACUUUACACUUGAAGGAUAUUUGGCUUGCUGAAUGAUCAAAUACUCAUUCCUUCUUGUAACAGCUGAAAGAUAUUUCUUUGCAAUGAAUUUCAUGAAGAAUAUAAUACAGAAUCGCAUGGGAAAUGAAUGAUUGAAUGAUUGUUUGGUUACAUACAUAGAGAAAACUAAUUUUAAUAGUAUUGACAAUGAAAAAAUCAUGAAACUUUCUCAAAUUAUGAAAAUGUGUAGAAAAUAAUUGUAAUUUAUAGAAGACAAACUUUUUUUUGUAGUGCGCUAAAAAUGGUUCAUCUCUUCAUAGACUCAACUUCAAUGCUACCAACAACGCCUCCAAAAUUUGUCAUCAUCAACAAUCUCUCCUCUUUGCUCAGCCAACUUGAGAUGGAGUCAAAAUUUAAUUCAAAAACUUAAAAUAAAAUUUUAAAAAAGUUCAAAAACUAAAAACAUAAUUUACUCUAUUUAUUAAUAGACUUGAUUGCAAAUUAAGAAUAUAAAAUAUUUAUAAUUAGUAGGUUAUGUAAAUAAAAGAAAAGUCAAUAUUAAGAAAUUGUUCAAAAGUUAUAUCUACGAACCGUUGGAGUGGAAAGGUCAAUAUUAAUCAAUUGUUCAAAAGUUUGUCUUGCCACUCAAGAUUAUGUCCAAAUCAAUUUCACUUUUUACCAUAGAGAAAAGAAACCCCAAACGAUUCUAUAAAUUCUUCUGUUAACUAACAAAAAUUCAUUAUUGAUUGAAAAAGCUUUCUAAGACUUCUUCACACACAAUUUCACUUGAAUUACAUCAGAACCAACUAGUAUUACUAAAAAAAUCAACAUAUUAUCUGUAACAUGAAGGGGGGAACAGAAAUAAAAGCUAAUCAAUCAUAAAUUUGGCAAACAUGUACUACAUUAGAGACUGAGACUGAAAUCAAAAUAAUAAUCACUGAAGAAGGAUACAAGAAUUUUUGGAUCUCAUUUCUCACUAACACCUAUAACAAAUGAUUUUAUACAUAAACAAUUAAAAUCUCUCUCUCUCUCUCUCUCUCUCUCUCUCUCUCUCAAGUAUACAUAGAUCAACAUCAACGCGUAAUAAUCAUCACUCCGUAACGAAUUACAGUAUAAAUCAACAACAAUAAACGUCUAUGUGUAGAACGAAUCAAUAACGCUCACACGAAAUCCACAGCAAAAUAAAAAAUCGGCAUCGUGACAUUCAGUGCUUGAAGAUGGCGAGCAUUGACAGCACAACCGAAGCUCCAAUCACGGCCACCGAGCUCGAAACGGAUCCGGCUGCUCCGGCAUCGGGUCCCGGUGCCGGCGCCGGAGACAAAUCCUGAGCGGAGGCGGCGGCGGCGGCGAAGAAAAGCGCCACGAUGAUAACGGUGGCGAAGGACUUGAAGGUGAUUGCUUGAGAUGCCAUGCUGAGAGAGAGAGAGAGAAAGUGAAUAAUAAUUUAAGAUUUGAAGGUGUUAGAGAGAGAUUUUUCUUCUUUUCUGUGUGAGAGUAGAGGGAGAGAGUGAGGGUAUUUAUAGUGAUUAUGGGAAGGCGCGUGGGGCCCACGGAAACGUGGACACCUGGAAGGUGAGGAACAUGUGUGGUGUAUUGUGAACGAAUGACAGUGAUUUGGUGAGAGAGAGAGAUUAUUUUCUUUUUUGGACUUGGUUUUUUUAUUAUUUCUUUUUUAGUUAUUUUCGUGUUAUUCUUUGAAAAUCCGAAACUAAGUGAACAAUAGCGAAAUAAUUGAAAAAGGGAUAGCAGAAAAAUUAAUUUGUUCUUUUUUCUACGAUUCGGUGCUGUGCGUUUUGCUUUGGUUAAACAACCGGAGAUUAUUGUUGCUUGUUCUCUUUUUCUUUGGGCCAUUACUUCGGUAAACUAGUGGUCCAUUAUAGACUAUUAUUAUUCAUCCUUAGAUUAAUCAAUUACACAGAUUUAAAAUAAAUUUUGAUUUUGAUUUUAUUGGUUUAAAAAUGAAAACAAAAUCAAAUGCGUAACAAUAAUGGUGUUCAUGAAAUUCGUGGUUGCAUUAGAUUAUGUCAGGUUAUAUUUUAUUUAUAUCAAUGUGGAUAUAAAUAUUAGAUAACCCAAGUAAAACAACCCAAAACAAUGUUUCCUUACAACCAUAUGGAGGCAUUUUAAUGCUGUUCCAUGUCCUCACAUUCGUAACAUUCAUUCCACACUUUGGAGGCCAAAUCACAGGAUAAAAAGAUGUUGAGUGGAGUGGCAAUAUUGAAGGCAGAUUGGGCAAUGGUAAUCUGAGUCCGUGAUGAUGAUGUUGGGUUUUCUCAAAUUAAUUUUCCUUUAUUGGGAGUUUAACCCCAAACUAGUGGGGCAGAUUCAAGAUCCUAAAAUAAAUGAAUACAAAUUAUAAAAAAUAAAAUCAGUAGAUUCAAUUAUAUAAAUAUAAAUAAAAUAAAAUAUAAAAAUAUAAGAUUUUAUUUAUAAAUUUAGUGAAUUUAAAAAAAUGAGGAGUGUAAAUACACACCCUCACAUGACUGUAGGUCCGCUACUACCUUAAAGGCUCUCCACAACAACAUAAAGGCCUUGUUAGGAAUAUUAACCUGCCAUAAAUCCUUGAAGAUAUCAUGUUGUCUCCACCACAGCUUCUUCCUCAUGGAUCAAUUUAUAAACCUAGGUGGUCGAGUAACGGGAAGGCCUUCCAGCAAUAUCGGGAAGGCCUUCCAGCAAUAUUAGGAUCAUCUCCGAGGUGUUCACUUGCAUGCACUCUUUCCAAAAUCACUGAAAAUUGUUGGAAUAGGAUCAUCUCCCUUUCAAGCAUGCUUCUUCUCCAUUUAAACUCCCAACACCAUAAAUUAUCCCUCCAACCUCCCAUGAUACCAAUAAUGUUAUCCUUUUGAUCCCAUAAAAGGAGCAACCUAGGAAAUAAAUUCGCUAAUUUUUCUCCCUCCACCCAUUCAUCCUUCCAAAAUCUUAUUUUCUCCCCACUACCAAACUUUCACUCCAAACUCUUUGCAAACCAUUUUUAACUGUAACAUUUGUCUUAACUCAUUAGCAAGAUAUAUAAGUCAAAUUGAAAUUAUCCAUCUUUAAAAUCAACUCUUCAAAGUCAAUUUGAAUAUAUUAAUUGAUGAGGUCUAAUUCAGUUAGCUAAAUAAGAUUUAUGAAUUAUUAUAAAUAAUAUGAUAUCUAUCUUUAAUUCAUACGGAUUAAAAAAAUAAAUUUAUUGAAUUAAUUCAUUCUUGUAACACUAUUACUAAUAUGAAAUAGCAAUAGCAACAACUGUUGUAGGUGAGGAUGUGAUAUUUUUAAGAGAGGUGAUGAUUGUAUUAUUCCAUAAGUUUUGUGACAUGAGUAUUUGUAUACAAGCCUGCUGUGUAAGUUUGUUACACAAUUAAAGAAAGUUAGGAACCCAUUUUAUAGCAUUUUUUAUUGUUUUUAAAAUUUAUCAAAAAAGCUAAAAUUGUAAGUGAGAUUUAUUAAAUAAUUAAGAAAUGAGACCCGUAACUUUUUUGUAAUUUUUAAUAAAUUUAGUUAAUAUAUAAUAGAUAUAGUAUGUUUAAAAUAGUAUAGUUAAGAGUGUGUUGUUAACAAUUUUGUUUUAAUUUUAUUUUGAAUUUAGUUUGGUCUCUCAUUUAUUCUCCUUUUCAAUUUAGUCUAUAUAAUCUAAUUUGUGUAAUUCCUACUUAGAUCAGGCAAAGUACUUUUUUAGUAUCUCAGGCCAAGGACCACUUUUAAACAACUAUCCAUGUCUUUGGCUUGGAACUUAAAGAGUUGUGGAUCCUCCCAACCCUAAGCAGAGUACUCUAUUAGUAGUUCAACACGAGGAUCUUAGUUGGCACUUGCCCACAACAACUUGUAACAUUUCUCAAAGGAUUAGGAUGUCUAAUAUUUCACAUAUUGGAACGAGUAAUGGCUGGGCAAUCAGAAUUUCCCAACUCAUUACAUCAACUCGACCGAAUUCUAUGGGAUUAGAUCCCUUUUUUUUGGUUUCAAUUAGGACGACUUAGUUGUGGGGUAAAUCACUAAACUAGCCAUAUGUCAAGACAAUGGCUGCAAUUAAAGUUAGGGCUUAGGAUUGAACUCUCACUACUACACAUGUGAUCUUCAACUAUAAUUAAGAUAUACUACCUCUGGUCCUUUUUUCUUUUUUUUUUUUAUAAGAAAUGAGUUAUAGUAUAAAAUACAUUAUCACUUAUUUUUUUAUAUAAAAAAGAUGAAAGAUAAUAUUUUUACAAUAUUUAUUUAUAAAAACAUAUCAAUAUAAAUAUAAAUCAUAUUACACAAGAAAAAAUGUUAUGCGAGAAGUUGAUUAUUAGCACAUAAUUAUUUAACAACUUGUACAUUUUAAGAGAAUAUAUGACAUAGUCUAGGCUGCAGGGAUCACCAGAAACUUUAACUUAUCCUAAAAUUGCACCAGGUCUAAUUUUUAAAUUCCAAACCCAUCAAAAGUCCUUUUAGGUGAAGCUAGGUUGGUGAGACAAGAUAGAUCAUGAACACCACAAAUUUGAUUGCCACAGCCCAUAAGUUUUGAGACAUCCAUACACUUUUAAUACAACUUUUACAAAUUUUUUUUUUAAAUUUAUUAAAAACUAUAAAAUAAUGAGUACAGUUUAUUAAAUAACAAAUGAGACUUAUUAAAUUUUAUAAUUUUUAAUAACUUUAAUUAAUAGUAGAUAGAAUAUUUAAGAAAGUAUGUUCUGUAAAAAAAAAAAAUUCAGAAAGUAUUUUACUAGCAUCUCUAUUUUGAAUUUACCCUUGUCUCCUCAUUCUUUUUCUCCUUUAAAAUUUAGUACUCUAUAUAGUCUAAUUUUUGUAAUUCCUACUUGGAUCCUUCUAGAUCCAGUUUGAGUAUUCUACAAGUAUAAUUUGACCCAAGGAUCUCGCUAAGGUAAGUCCCUAACCCUUGUGAACCUAAAAUGAGUAUUCAAUUAGUAGCUUGGCCCAAGGUCUAGCCUAGAUUGGUACUUCUCCAUUAGAACAUGAAAUCACUCUUAGUAGGUUGAGCCAUUUAAUACACAUAUCGAAUCAAGUAAUAAUUGAAAGAUAAAUUUGAGUCAACCACAAUCAGGACAUUAGAUUCCUCUUUUUUCAACUUGGACAGUCCAAAUGAAAGAUAAAUCUAAAUCAAGCACAAUCAGGACAAUAAUUGUUUUGGUUAAAGAUAAUUCUUGAGACUAACCUAUAAAAGAUAAUUUUGGCCCGAACACUAAUAAAAAGUUGUUUUUUUUUUAGAUUUGUGAAUGGAAAAUCAAGUAUUUACAUGUUAUGAGUUGUCGUUAAUCGAAAAAAUAUCCCCUCCUGUUAUUAAUUUUUUUUAGUACAAGAGAGAAAGUAGGGGGGAAACACCAACACAACACAAUAACACAAUUCAAUACUGUUUGGUAUAGACAAUUCAUUGAUCACUAGACGAUUUAUUAUAUCUUAGAUUUUGAUGAUUAUAAAAAUUAUUGAUGGACUAAUGAGUUGUUGUUAAGUGAACAAGAUCUACUUUGUAAAAAGGUUUACUUGUUAUUAAAUUAAUAUCUACAACUCUAGUAAGUAUGUGUCCACUCUAAAGUGAAAAACGAUUUUGUUAACAUAUAUUCAGUGUCCAAUGCAUUGUUAAAUUAACCUCGUUCACUUAUUGUUAAAACCAGUGUUUACACAUUGAACUAUUUUUUUUAUGUGUCCACUGGACUUAAAUCACUUAUACACUUACUUUAUAUCAUCAUAAGUGACAUCCAAUAAGGUACUCAAGGACAAUGUUAGUUACAAAAGGAAAUGCACUUUCUCACUUUUCAAAUUUCAACUUUGCCUCUCUUUAUUUGAAUUACAAACAUUUGAAUUUAAGAAAAUGACAUAAUAGAAGGAAUUUGUAGAAUAUUUCUCAAGAGUUGCUUUCUCCACAAAAGAGGAGUACAUGUAGUUGUUUGUACAUUUAUUCCUAUCCUCGCUAUUCAGAGCACGUCAUGUGGUUUUGCCUCCAGCUGUGAGACAACUGUCAUUUCAAGGCUUAGCAUUGAUCCCAUAAUGGAUCCUUCACCGAAUUCUAUAAAAGGCGCCUUAUGCUCAAGAAAUCCAAAGGAAUAUACAUCAAGCGAAAUACGAGCACAAGUUCUCGGAAGUGAAGCUCUACUAAAUUAGUGGAUGGCACACUUAGCACUUAAUCUUUGUAUCCUUUGCUAUGUAAAGUUUAUUUGUGUUUAAGCUUAACUAUUUAUCUAGUCUCUGAGUGUCAUUGAAUCAUUGUAUUUAUUCAAAAUUUUGUAUGUGAAAGUCAGAAGUGACUUAGUGUUAAACAAUACUUGGGUAUUCUUAGAUUUAAGGGGAGUUUAAGGGUGUGUCAAGAGUGACAUAGAGAAUACUUGUAUAGUCAGGAGUGGUAGGAUAAAAUACUUGAUUGUAAUCAAAGUUCUUAUUAGUGAAACCCUUUACAGUUGUGUAAAGGAGAACUCGACAUAACUUUAUUUGAGUGAACCAAUAUAAAUCAAGUGUUUCUACUUCUCUCUUAAGAUGUUUGAUUAAGCAUUCUUUUAAGCGUAUCUUGACACACUUGCUCACCAAGUGUUUAUUUAUGAAAAUCAUGUUUUCUUAUUAUUGGACGAUCAAACUUUCUUUUUCAUCAAAACUUGUUUUUGAAGUUAAUGGACGACACUGAUCAUAUUUAUCCUUCAAACUGGUGAUAAAAAAUAUGAUUUCCAAAAAUUUAUUAUCUUUGAUUAACACACUAUUUAACCCUCCCUCCUUUAGUGUGACUGUUGAUAUUUCAAAUAAAAGAACAAUAAGCUGCAAAAUCAAUAUUCCCCCAAACUUGCAAGAAUCUGCGAGGAACUCCAAUAAAAAUAGAGAAAAACCAGAACCACAAAAUAUGUGCUAGAGACACACAAAUUUUAAUGUGGAAGACCCCUCAAUGUAAGACCAAAUAAAUAGCUUCAUUAUGAUCAACAAAGGGUACAAGAAGGUCUCCAACAAGUAUGCAAAAUGUUCAUACAAUCAACCAAAUCAAGUAAAGCACCAAUGCUUACAAAUAAGAAACAAAAGGAUGAAAAAGCCCAUAUAUAGAGAAGAAAACUACAAAGCACUAUCUCCAUCUCUAGACCUUGUUACAUCAAUCCAACCAAACAAAAUGAAGUAUCACAUGCUAAAUCUGUCGUCCAAAUAUUAGUCUGAUCCAACGGUUAAUGAAUCUGCACUUGCAAUCCGAAUAACAGUUGUCUGGUGGGUGUGAGAAAAUCUUUAUGUUUUUUCCUUUUGUCUUCUUUCCCAUUGUUUGCUGCAAUCUCACUCAGUAAAAUGAGCCUCCCUUCUUACCUUGACGUGACCCUUCUCCAUUAGGUUAAGUGAGACAUAAUGGACCAAUUUAUUUGGACUUUUCUUCACAUAAGAAGGGAGCCAAAAUCCAACAAGAAAGACUCAAGAUAUUUGUAAGUCCCACCAUAUUGGGGAAGCCUACAAAUACCUUGAAUAUUUCUCUUUCCAUCUGAAAAUUUUCAAUACUAAAGAGGAGCUAGACCCUUGUUAACUACCUUGGUCUUAAGACUCAAAUGCAUAUUAGAAUGACAAGUUUUAAUUGGAGAAAAGAAACUUAAAAAAUGUUUUCCAGUACUGAUUUUUGUUUUCUAAAUAUUGAGGUUGAUAAUAACUUUAUACUUGAAGGGUAUUUGACAGGCCGAAUGAUCAAAACUCCUUCUUCCUAAAGAAAGGCUACAUUCUGUAACAAGGCAAAGAGAUCUUGAGAACUUGACCAUGUCGAAUACUAGAAUACCUCGUAACAGGUAAAAAAAAAGGUAUGAAAAAUGAGGGGAUGAACCUCAAACCUUCUGUUGGCUAAACACCAAACACCAACACAUAUUCGGCCAACCGCAUAGUUGAGACCAUCACAAAAGAAUAAAUUCAACCAUUAGAGUGUCAUGAUCAAGAUUGUUCUAAUAGAUAAACAUCAUAACAAUAAUUAAUUAAAGACAGAUGAUGACUUGAAAUGAUAGUCAUGUAACAAGACCCUCAAGUUCAAGGUCCAAUAUGAUAUGUAUAAAUAAAAGUGGAAGAGAUUCUAGAAGUAAAGUUAAUUAUUUCUCAUUUAUUAUUUUCAUUUAUUUAUUGCCUAGGGUCAAGUCUUAACUUAAGAGUCUAAAUGCCUUUCGUAGGUAAAUCACCUCUAGGAGAACCUAGCAACUAGACACUUGGUAAGAAGACCUUAGAGCCCGAGAGAGAGAUAUUCAAAAGAAAAUUAUUUUGCUAUCAUUUGAUAGGUACAAACUUAAAACAUUUUUUUCCAAAAAGAAAACAUGAAUCUCCCAAUUAAGAUAGGAUAUGCAUAAUUAAGCUCUAAUUUGGCUACAUGCUAAUGUGUAUACAAUGAAGUAUAUAACAUUCUUUGAACUCAUAUAUAAGCAAAAAUAUGAUUUUAUGUAUCAAAUUUAAAUAUACGUAAAUCUAAUUAAUUUUAUCUUAUUUAAUAUUAUCAUUCUUAAAAUAUCAUUUAUUUAAUUUUAUUUUUAUUUUUUACUUGAGAUUAAAAAAAUUAAAAGAUAUCAAUUAAUUUUCUUAAAUAAUAUAAAAUUAAUUAUUUUAUUUAUAUAUAAGUAAGAGGAAAUACAACAUAGACUCAGAUGUCUGAGUUGAAACUAACUUUUAAUUAGUUAAUAAUGAUUAAGAAUACAAGAAUUGAUCUCUCAUGGUAAUCCGCAACGGUAAAAAUCUAUCUACAGCGUCUUUAACUCUUUACUGUUUGUGCUAACGUCCCAAUUUAUGUCCAAAUCCAUCUCAUUUUCUAACCAGAGGAAAAAAAAUGUACUCACACGUUCAUUAGUUCUUCUGUUGACGCGAAGAAAAAAUAAUUAUCCAUUGAAUUUACAAAAGAAUUUUAAGAAAAUAUUUUUUACACACAAAUCUUUAACAAAAUUCAAUAUAAAGUGAAUAAGCAAGCACUAGUUUAUUUAGGGGGCAACAUAUAAAACUAGUUUGUUUGAUUAAGCUUAUUUUUUAAAAUAAAGUAUUUUCUAAAUAAAAUAAACAAUUUUAUAAUUUUCUAAUGCGUUUGUCUGAAUAAUUUUUACGUAAAUAAAUAUUUUUUGUUUUUUAAAUAAAUUCAUUGAAUGAAUAUGUAUAUUACACACUGAAAUCAUAACAAUAUAAUAAAAGAGGAUAUCAAAAUUCCUCUUAUUUCUCACUAACACCUACAAUAAAUGGUUCAUUAUAUAAAUGCUGUAAGAUCUCUCUCUCUCUCUCUCUCUAUUAUACAUAGAUAAACUCAUAAUAAUCAUAAUAAUAAUAAAUUAAUAAUCAUCACUCGUAACGUAUUAUAAAAGCAGCAACAAUAGAUCUGAGUGUGCAGAACGAAUCAAUAAUCUUCACACAAGAUGGAUCCAUCAGAUUAUACUCAGUGCUUGAAGAUGGCGAGCAUUGACAACAGUACGGAAGCUCCAAUCAUGGCGACCGAGCUCGAAACGGCUCCGGCGGCCCCGGCAUCGGGUCCCGGCGCCGCCGCCGGAGGCAAGUCCUGAGCGGAGGCGGAGGCGGCGAAGAAAAGCGCCACAAGAAGAGCAACGGCGAAGGACUUGAAGGAAACUGCUUGAGAUGCCAUGACUAUAAUAAAACGUAGAGAGAAAGAGAAUGUAAAAUAGUAGUAGCAAAUUACUAACAGAUAAAAUUUCUCAAGGUGUUGAGAGAUUUUUUUACUUUUUUUCAGUUUGGUGUAAGAAAUGAGGGAGGGGGUGGGGGUAUUUAUAGUAUGGAGAAGAGGUGUGGGGCCCACCGAAACGUGGCGGGCGAGGGAACAUUGAAGUGUGUGAAUGAAUGAAUGGGUAUAGGGGUGAGUUUGGUUUGGUGAGAGAGAUGGGUUCGCUACGUUUUUGUGGUUGAUUUUUUUUUAGCGUUUUGGUAACGUGCUUAUUUAAUGUUUAAUUAAACAAACGAC